AUUAAAAUUCCCACACCAUCGUACAUGCCUUUUGGCCACCCCUCAGUGGCAAUUCCAACUCCUAUUGAAACCACAGCGCAUACCAUAAGGAUAAUUAAUGUUAAGUCUUGUAGGGCUUCCCAUACAAACACAAAAAAUGUUCGGGGAGGUUUCUCCGUAUAGCGGUUUAAGCCAUAAACAUUUUGCCUGAUUGGUAUGUUACUAUCCUUGACACCUUCAUCUAGCGAGACAGAGACUUUCCUUAAAAUCCCAUGAAUUCCACCAUGCAUUUUCAAGGCCUUAAUAUCAUGGCCACGCGUGAUAGAUGCAAGUUCAUCUGGGUGAAUGCUGAAACCUGAGGUUCUGGCAUCUUCAGACAGCUUGUAUUCAUCCUGUCUUGGCUUUUCAUUGGAUCGAUCACCAGCACCAGCUUCAUAAGAUCACAUAACAAAGUGAGAGAAGGAAUGAAUACAUGACAUCAGCGGACACAUAAUGAACUUUUACUUGACCUAUAAACUUAAAGAUAAUACCAUCAAUAAACUGCAGUGCUGCUUUCUGAACGUAAAGAGCAACUCGAAUCUUUUCCUGGUAAAACAAAGAAGAAUAACAAAGUCAAAAAACAGAUGACAAUCAUAGUCCCCCAGAACUACGGUAGCAGCAAAAGUUCACAAGUCAAAGUCUUCAACUGAAAAUAACAGAUAACCACCGAGUAUAUUCAAACAUAUACAGUAUAUUAUGGGAGAAUUCAAAAGCCUAUUCUUCAAUUUUGUUUGUUUUGAACAAAAUAAUCUUCCGUGUUUAAAAUAGUAUAUUACGGGAUUUCAACAACUAUCAUGAUCAUUUGGUGGAGUAAUGGGAUUUCAAAAGAUAGUAUGACCAACAAGAUUUUCAGGCUAUAAGGAAAAAAACAAUCAUGAAUCCUAGUAUUUAGUAUUAACCCUAGGAUUUAUUAUCACGCAAUAAAUCAAAGGGUCCUCAAUUCUUUAGCAUGACCCUAGUAUUAUACCAUAAAAUCAAAAUUAAAACUAAGUUUUUUAGGCCCAUAAGAUACUAUUUUGAAGUAUCUUUCACUUUCAGCAUUAAUAUAAUUUAGCAAAUUUCACUUGAAAGUUGGAAGUUGGAGCUAAUAUAUAUUUUCUUUUUAAGAAUUACUAGAAUUUAACAUACUGUUUUCUAAUACACGAAAGCAUACAUUGGUGCUGACAAUUAUUAUUUCAGAAAGAUGACCAAAUCCGUGUGUGCACCGUGUUUGACUGAAAAUCACAAUCAACUGAAAUUAAACAAAUAGUUGAGCAUGAUCUGCCAACUCCUGCAACCCCUUUUUGGGUUUUAUAAUCAAACAAGACGUUAAUGUAAAAACAAUUUUUCUUGAUAAUUUAAUAUGAUUCAUAAUACUCCUUACCAAAACAAUUUUUCUGAAUGUUUGCAUUAAACCAUUUUCUGAUAUUUUGAAUGUCUCACAAUUCUUUGCUUUUUGCCCAUAUAUAUAUAUAUAUAGAAGAUAAAACAGAAAGAAGCUAAUCUUAAUAUUUUAAGAUUCGAGUGUGUGAAAUAUCAUCUAUAGAAAAUUUAAAGAGCCCACGAUGCCCCCACUUGGGUGACCCAGCCACCCAUUUUAAGGAUCAAAUUGGACAGGGACUCGGCCAAUAAUCUCUGGCCAAUAAUCUCUGUCAAUAGCCAUCCGCUAUCAACACGGCGAUACCCUCUUGUUUUAAAGUCAUUAUUUUUGACUUUUUUGUCAUGCGAAAGUUCCUAGAAAAUUCAUCCCUUGCCAUUAUCGAAAGAUGUAGUCAGAAAGGUCUUUUUCUUAUAUUCGUACUACGCGUCGUCGUUAUGUAAACCAUGGACUACUCUGCUACGCGUCGUUUUCUGUUGAGGCAAACGAAAUUAAACGCAAGAAACAUAGUGAACCCAUCAAUACAAUAGUACAAAAGGUCGUCAGUCGAACGUGAGCCCCACCUGGCAUGGGGGCAUCACAUGGAAACGGACGGGCAUCGAAAAACAGUAUUAUAAUAAAGAAAGGUUGAGAACAAACGUGGGACCACACACGCCUCCUCCUGCUUCUCUUUCUUUCUUUCAUUUUGUGAGUUUUAAUUUACAACCUACGAUUAGCGAUCACUGAAUUUUUAGCAGUCCAAAUUACUCAAAUUAAAAUAUGAAAAUCGUUUUAAUUUCUUUUGUUUUCCUACCUUUUUUUUCUCGGUAACCAAACAAAAUAAAAACAAAAUCGUAAUCAAAAUAAAAACGUAAAAACUGCAUAUUUUUAGCAGCAAAACCUCUAUAAACGGCGGCGUGUUCAUAAUUUUUUUUAUUUUUUUUAUAACGAAAUCAAAAUAAAAACGCAAUAACUGCAUAAGCUGAGAGAGAGAGAGAGAGAGAGACCUGGAUUUGACGCUUCUUCCUCUCGGCCUCGGACCGCUUAGCGAGAUCGGCCACGAAGCGGAACCUCCUGCGACGGUUCUUGACGAGCGCGACGGCUUUUCUCCAUCUCCGAAUAGUUUCCUCCGAAGGAUUCUUGCUCUCCACCUCGAAGUCCUUCAAGUACCUCUCCAUUUCCACUGUUUUUUUCUCUGUCCUCACAAUAUUCAGAGAGACGCAGAAAAAGAGAGAGUCGCUCAGAGGCGAAGACUAGAGGGAGAGAGGGAAGGGAAGGGGAACGGGAAGCCAAAGGUGUGAGUCGCAGACUUCUAAGCCAAAGGAGAAGAUUCCGUACAUGUGCGUACAAAAAGGUUUGUCCUGGGGCCUGCCGUAGAUGGAGGCCACGUCACGUGGUUUACCGUGUUGGUGGGAUUAUUUAAUCAGAGAAUAUUGUUUAUGUGUGCAUUAUUUGUGGGAAAAGUGUUUACUUUGAUUUUCUUGUCACGUGAUUUGACAGAUUAUACAAAUUACAAAGUGACACUAACUUUCCCUUGGGGAUUAAAUUAUUGCGAAUUAUGAUUUUGCUUUUCUCGCCACAUGAUUUUGAUUUGGACUCAUCACGUUUGUCUUUUUUUUAAAAAAAAAUUUUUAAUUUUUAAUUCUUAAUUUUUUGCGAAAAUCACGUUAGUAGUGAAGAAGUAUCCCAGACUUUUUAGCUAUAAAGAAAAAACAAUUUAACUUGACCAAAAUACCCUAAUUCUGGAAUUCUCUAAGUUUGACUUAGCAUUAUAGGCUAAAAUAUAAGAAAAAUUAGUGUAUAUAAUAGACUAUAGUUUAGUGUUUGCCAAAAAAAGAGAGUAUAGUUUAGUGAUAAAAAAAAAUUAAUAAUUAAGAUAUCAUAAAUUAAGUAUUUUGCUUUUGAAUUUGGUGAAUGAGUUUUGAAUUUUGUUUUAUAAUAGGACAACAAUGUGGCCCAAAUUGAAUGGAGUAUUUAAAUUCAUAGGAGAAAAGACAGGUUUGCUCCUCUUAAUUUAAGAGGUUUUUCUCAAAAUAAAAUUAUUUGAGAGACCUCAAUAGAUAAGGACUGUAUAUAUAUAUUAGCCCCUUAGCAUAUGCUCACGCAUGUGCCAAUUGGUUCUUUAUUUUAUUUUAUAGAAUUAAAAAAGAUAAUAGGAAGUUGUGUUCCAUAAAAAUAGGACUCAUUACCUGAUUUUGUUUCUAUUUAAAAUAAAAUUAAUAUGAAAGAGUGUGAAUUUACCAUAUUAUCCUCAUUAAUAAUUUUAAUUGUUGAUGUUUGCAUUAACCAAUGACAUUUUAUGGUAUGAAAAUGUGAAAAAUAGAUGGUUUUGAUCAUUGAAUUUUUUUGUUUUUGUUUUUGUUUUUUUGUAGGUGACUCUAAAAGUUGUCCCUCAAAUUUAUUUAAGGAAACCUUCAAUAGAAGGAGACUGUAUAUGGGGUCUUUCUUCGUUACGGAGUCCACGAUGCGGAUUGGUUACGAAUAUCUAUUUUUUACCAUACGAUGAUACCAACUUUCAACGCUUCAUUUAUUCUUUUUUUCUUUCACCGAGUUCAAUCUUCUCUCUCUCUCUCUCUCUCUCUCUCUCUCUCUCUCUCUCUCUCUCUCUCUCUCUCUCCCUCUCCUCCUUUUUAAUUCUUUCUUCCGUUUUCUUUCCUUUCCUUCUCUCUUCUCUCUGUUUCCUGCGUUUAUCCCUUUAUCUCUCUGACAAAUCAUGUUAGUAGCCAUGUCAUGGAGUAAAUCAAUUUUGUUGGAUGAAAACAUUUGAAAGUUUCAAGGAAAAAAAAGCUGCAAAGUGAUUGUAAGGAGAAGUUACGGGAACCGAAAUUCCAAGAAGCAUCAUAGGAUUGAAUCAUCAGUAAUGGGUGUUAUAGAUUAUAGCAGAGAAAAUCAAGGAAAGAAAAAACUCCUUAUCUUUCUUUCUUUCAUUUUGUGAGUUCUAAUACAAAAUGCUCAUCUAAAUAAAUAUCAUCCAUUCUGUUUAGGCUUAAAUUCCACACGCCAACCCAAUUGACUAUUAACCCAUAUCAAAAACAAGAGUUUGGGCUUUGUUUUGUUAAAAUCAAAAGUCAGCCCAGACGUUUGCGAACCAAUUUGCAAGGAAUAAAUUUACAGAUUAAAGAUUAAUUUCCAUUAAUGGUGAUUUAAUUUGGACAAAUCAGUUUCUAAUUGGCUUUAAAACUAAAGCCUAGCUUCUAAUCUCUCCAAAGGCUCAAAAUUUGAUCAUCACCGUUGAUCACAAUUUCAGAAAUCAAGUCAGCAGAUUUUGAAAAAUCUCUCUCCACAAAGCCCACGUGACUCUAAAGUCAAGGUGUCAACAGGGCAGAGGAAGUGAUGGGGAGUUGGUAGAAGGGUUAAUCGGAAAACCACUCCCCAUAACCAUUUAAUGCCACAAAAGGAGGGCCAAGUUUCCUUUCUAUGCUCGUGAAGGCUUCGCAUAAGAGCAAGUUGGGUUUACAAAAGAUUUGCAAGAGAGAGGAGAGUUGGUUGUCAGAAGAUCAAAAUUGAGCAUCAUGGAAACUAACUGCUGAUGGGUUUUCUUGUCAGACUAAUUACUCCCCUCUUUUGCAUUGGAACGGAAAAUCCUCUCAACAAAUUUGUCCUCCAGAUAUUAAGGAAUAAACGCUCAUUCAGAUUCUCCAUAAAUAUGAAAGAAGGUGAACAUGAUGAAAGACAACCAACAAUUCAAUCAAAACAAAAACUCUCAAGUUAUACCGACAAACUCAAACAUAUCAUAUGAUCCCAAAAGCCUUUAGACUCUGAAGCAACCAAGCUCUUUGAUUUAUAAAAGACAUCCAGUCUCUGACAAAACAAGCAGAACUCAGGUGUCUGACUUCAGUUCAACUUAAAGAAGUAAUUCACAAAGAAAACGAGAUUUCUCUCAUUACAAAUUUAGUUCAGCAUAUGCCAAUCAAGAAAAAUUCAGGUUUUUCAUAAUAUGAAAACCUCAACAAAUUUACAAGGAUGCCUUGAUAUCUGAGAAUCAUCAGAACAUAUCACAAGUGAUCCACAAUUAAGCAGAACAGGUGCUGAAGUGUAGUUCCGGACCAGAAAUUGCCAAUCCAGCCACUCCAAUCCAAUCCAGACUGAAGAAAUCCCAGUUCUGCCCAUCCAACAAGCCUUUUCAUGGCUAAAAUAGAUUAAAACUUAAUUUCCAACUGAACCUCAUCAGUUGAAGGUGCUGAUGUUUGAAUCCAGCACAGAUACAUCUAGUCCAGCCUGAGUCACAAGCAACAAUCGAAGCAAAAAUCGAAGCCUAAUGUUCUGUUGUCAUUUCAUAUGUGGCAGUUCCCUUUUGUUUUAAAAUGUGUAACAGGCAGUUCUCUUUAAAACAGUUUGAUUUAUUUUCAAUAUUCAUUUUGGCUAGAACUGCUAGUUUUUACUAUGAGAAAUUGGGAAGUCAUCACCAGUCUGAGGCAAGAAAAGAACUUACUUGGAAGAUAUUCCUCACCCAAAUUCAUAAUCACUUGUUUAAAGUCAGUAACUUGGGGCACAAGUUAUCUAUUUUCAUAAGUCUGUUAGAGUAUUGACCACUAACAGUGGCAUGCCCUCACACUAAAGAAAGUUGACUUGUUGACCAUAAAUGGUUUUCAAGUCAAUGGGGAAUUUUACCAUACCAUCACAGGAACUAAAUCUAAACGAGUGAACAAUUUGGCACGCACGGUGGGACCUCACAAUAUACAUACUCCUAAAAACACUUUUUAGUGUAUGAAUAUUGGAAGUUCAAGCCAGAACCCACGCUUUGCCAUGGAAAGAGAUCAACCAGCUUUCCGAGAAGAAGGACAUGAAUCAGAAGAGAGUGAUGCUAGGCAUUCAGCUUACGGCAAUACCAGGAGUAGAUGUUCCCGAUCUAGCUCCAAAAUGAUAAACCAAAUACAGGAGGCUGUGCUUCGAUAAGAAGCUGCAGCACAAAUGAGCCAUGACAAUCUGAACAACAUGACAGCCAUGAUGCAAUGGCAAGUCAAUAGGCAGUUUAGGAAGGAUCGUGAGGCUGCUAUUACGAGGAAUCCAGAUCCAGACAAUGUAGUCCAGCAACUAAAACUCCCUUUCGGACCUCCACUAGGAUUGGCAUGGCCAUACCAAGAAAAUCCCCUCAUUGCAUAGAUAGCUGGAGUACCUGGAGUAGUAGAGAUCCAGGCUGGACAAAGGGGAUGAGCCUUUGUCACCCAAGAAUAGGAAGCUCCAAUUCUUCCACUAGGCCCAGCACCAGUUCAGGCUCCCCAGAAUCAGCCAAAACUUCCAGUUGUUCCAUGGCCAGAGAUUCCACAUGGCCAGUUAGUGGCACACCUGCCUGAACAGCCAAUAAUGUUGCCUUAUAGAUCUAGAAGAAUGAUCCCAAUCCAUUUACCCAACUAGCAAGAAGUAGAAGAGGCAGAUGAGGAAUUAAUCCUUUCGCUAACAACGACAGGAAUAAGCUAUGGGCAAACUGGAUGAAUCAUCCAGAUUUCGAAGAAGAUGAAGAAUAUAGGGAGGAGGUCAUACCCAGACCAUACAAAAUUGAACAGAGGGCUGAACAGAAUUAGCCAGAACAGGGACGGAACUUACCUCAUGUUAACGCUUUGAAUGACAUGGGGGCACUACAAAGAAUGAUUAGAGAGAUGAUGGAUCUUGAGGUCAGAAAAGGAGAAAGGCCCACUUACAAGAAGCCAUAUCCAGCUUACAUUAAUCAGAUGCCUUUACCCCCUGGUUUUAAAGUACCAACUUUCACUUUGUUCAAUGGAGAAUACGCUCAUGCGUCAUCAGUCGAACAUAUAGGCAAAUUCCUUGUCUAAUGCAUAGAUAUAGAGAAUAAUCCCUUAUUGAAGCUUAGGCUUUUUGGGAAUUCCCUGUUCGGACAAGCUUUUACUUGGUAUACCAAUUUACCAACCAAUUCUAUCCAGACAUAGGAGCAGAUGGAGAAUGCUUUCCACGACUAUUAUUUCAGAAUCCAGCCAGAAGUCACCAUAAGUGAUCUUGCGGCUCUUAAACAGAGUGAGGAUGAACCUGCCUAGGAUUUCAUCACCAGGUUUAGGAAACUCAAAAUGAAGUGCAGAAUCCCCUUGGAAGAAAGGCCCAGAUGGCUCAGACCACCCUCAAUAUUUCUCUAAGAAAGAGAUUCGAUGGAAUGGUGUUUGGAGACUUGGCAGAAUUGGCAGAUAAAGCUUCCAAGUAUGAAAGAAUUGCUAAGGGAAGAGCAGCAGAAGAGAAAUUCUUCCAAAUGCGCAUAUUACAAGACACCAUCUUCCUCAGUCCAUUUGGUUGAGGUAGAAUCGGAAGAAGAUUAAGAAAGUUCAGAAGAAAUAGAGGUGCAUCUAUCAAUCUACUACCUCAUAGACUAUUGGUUAAGCUGGACAGAACAGAAAAAGACUAAUCCCAACGCGUCUUUGUUUGGGCCUAAAUUCAGCACGCCAAAAUACAAAAGACAGGCCCAUGGUGAAAAUUCCUGCCCAGCCCAAGCUGUCCAGACAGGUUGGGCUUCACGCCAAAAUGUCGAAAACGAAGCCCCAGCCUAAGAAAGACCAACGUGGAAACUUUCAAUUGGGCUUCAAGGAUCAGCCCGUAAUUUUUGUUAGGUUCAAACCCAAGGGAUCAAAAACACACCCACGUGAUUACCUCAACUUUGAAAAGUCAGCAAUUCCAACUAAGUUUAAAAUAUGAGAGGGAUAUCUCUGAAACACUGCCAACAGAAGAUCAAAACCCAUCUGUGUUCGAGAUUUUGCUCCAAAUCAAUACACCAUCUUCCAAGGAAUUCACAGGUCACGCUUCCUAAAUUAGAACGGGAAACAGGGAGCUGUUCAGAAAAUACAAAAGAAAAACCAAACCGCCAUAAAAAGCCUACACAGACGGUGGCGUUGGUUGAAAUAGAAAGCUACCACCCAGGAAACCAGGGAAGGGACUGCUUUAGGAGGUGACUACUGAGAGCCUAUCUGCCAUGAUUGACAAGAAUCCCUUUUUUACUUUACAUUAUAGGAGAUCUUUUUGCUGCCCAUUAUUUAGAAUUAAAAUCACCUCCCCAAGAGGUUCUCUUAUAAAAACGAAAGUAGGCAAGGAAGAAAAGGACACCCAACAACAACAAAAAAGAACACUCAAUUCAUCAAUCAAACAAUCAGAAAUCAACCAAAGGCAAAAAACUCAAAACGAUCACUUGAUCACUGAGAACCUUCAAACAAACUGGAGCAACCAGAAGCUCAUUUGAGCCACACAAGAAGCCAGCUAUAGAUCAGAACUUCCAAAGUUCAGACUUAGCGAAAUAAGUCAUUCAAAACGAGACUUCUCUCGUUACAAAUUUGGUUCAGCUAAAGCCAAGACAAGCAGAGUUUGAGUUUUCACAAAUAUGAAAACCUCAACAAAUUUUACAGUGCAGUUCCAGCUUGCUAAGUCCUCGAGAACAGCCACUUCUGCCCCUUCAAACUGAAGAAGCUGCAGUUCUGCCCACUAAAAGGCCUCACGAAGCGUGAAGUAAACAUAAAGCUCUGCCAAAAUCGAACUUUGGUAUCGAUUCAUAGCUCAGCCUGGCAUCUGAAGUCACGAAGCAGUACGGACCAACCCAGGCGUGUCCAGUCCAGCCCAAGCUAGAGCCUUCCAUCCAAGCAGAAAUGGAGUUCCGGCCAUCUUUUAACCUUCCUAGCGUCAAUAUGCAUAUCUAUUGUUUUGUAAAAGGCAGUUCUGCCUAAAACAGCCCAACUUCUAUCAAAUAUUUCUGGCCAGAACAGCCAUUUGAUACUGAGAUAAAUUUUGAAAGUCCUCACCAGUCUGAGGCAAGAAAAGAACUUACUUGGGAGAUAUUCUUCACCCAAAUUCACAAUCAUUUGUUUUAGAAGUCAGUAACUUGGGGCGCAAGUUAUCCGCUCUAAAAAGAAGUCUGUUAGAAUUUACAUUGCUAGCAGUGGCACGCUCACACACCAAAGAAAGCUGACUUGUAGACCAACCAAUGGUCUCCAAGCCAGUGGGGAACUUCGCCCUUCCACCUCAGGAGUAAACAUGAAAACGGGUGAACAGUCUUACAGUCACCAAUUUCGCUGGGGGCAUCACCAAGACCCAUAGGAUAUUGGAUGUGGAUGUCACGGUAAGAACCAAGAAGCUGAAGAUUGUUUUCUUUGUGGUAGACACCACUUCUACCACUUACAAUGCAUUACGUGGAGAGAUUGGAUCCACCAAAGCUUAUGUGUUCCUUCCACUCUACACCAACAGUUGGCCCUCUGGCAUUAAAAGGGUUUUAUGAAGAGAAUAGAGGCUGAUCCACUGUCAUUUUUGCCAUCUGCAAAUUUUUUUGCAGAUCAUCCAGGGGAAGAGAUUGAGAACAUGGAUUCCAUGGAUAUAGCCAAUGCAGAUCUGCUGAGUAGAGCUCACACCUAUCUCAAUAAUCCCACCCAUUGGAAGUUGUAUUUUGAUGGGUCUAAAACUAACCUGGCUUCUAGAGCAAGAAUUAUUUUAGAAGAUCCAUUAGGAAUCAAACACUGUUAUUCAUUCGAGCUAGAUUUUCAGUGCACCAACAACAGUGCAGAGUACGAAGCUUUGAUCAUUGGCUUCGAGAUGCUUGGAGAUUCCGUGCUUGUUAUGAAGCAGAUUGCUGAAGCAUACAAGUGUUUGAAUCCUUCCUUAACUGUUUAUUUGCUGGCAGCCUAAAAUCUCCUGGCAGAAUUCAGGGAAGCCACUUGGGAACAUAUUCUAAGGGAAGAGAAUUUUGCAGCCAAUGAAAUGGCUCAAAUAGCAACAGGAGUGCAAAUACCUGAAGACUGCAUACAGAGAAUCAUCAAAGUAGGGAAGAAGAGUCUACCAUCUGUUCUGACCAGGGGAAUGGAGAUAGAUGUCAAUUCUACCAUAAUGACUGAGGAGGAUUGGAAAUUGCCUAUAAUUAGUUAUUUGCAGUAUCCAACCAUUCCUUCCGAGAAGAAGAUAAGAAUCAUGGCUUUGAACUAUCUCAUGUGGAAUGGAGACUUUGUCCGAAAGAGCAAGGAUGAGCUACUCUUGAGGUGCUUGGGGAAGGAAGAAUACAUGAAAGUAAUGGGAGAAGUCCACGAGGGAAUCUAUGGAGCUCAUCAGAACGGAAGAAAAAUGUGCUGGCUGAUCAAAAGGUAUGGUUAUUUCUGGCCUACCAUGGUGAAAGACUGCAUAGAAUAUUCUAAAGGAUGUGAAGCUUGCCGGAAACAUGGACCAAUCCAGCAAGCUCCCUCAGUUCCUAUGAAUCCAGUUGUUGAGCCAUGGCCAUUCAGGGGAUGGGCAAUGGACCUCAUUGGUAAGAUCUAUCCAGCCAGUAGCAAACACCACUGUGUCAUCACUGUGGCUACAGAUUACUUCACUAAGUGGGUGGAGGCUAAACCAGUCAAAUCCACUACAUCUCAAGAGAUCAUCACUUUCAUUGAGGAGCAGAUUGUACACAUGUUUGGCAUACCUGAAUCAAUUACAACUGACAAAGGGACUUCCUUCAUAUCCAGGGAGAUGCAAGAUAUGGCAAGUAGGCUCAAGAUCAAAUUACUAUGCUCAGGCAAAUGGAUAGGCAGAAUCAAGCAAGAAGGUGAUCAUUAAUAUCAUCAGGAAAAUCCAAGGCAAUGGCAUGAAAAGUUGUCAGAAACCUUAUUGGCCUCUAGAACUUCAAAGAGAGAGGCAACUGGCAUGACCCCAAUAUAAAAUGGAUAAUUCUAAGGAAAUAAUAUAUAAUAGUAAAGGGACAAGAACAUUGCUUUAGAUACAUAACGUACAUAAAGUAAUAAGUCCAUGAAUUAAGAUAUAAAUGGAAAGUGGUCCAAAGAAGUUAGAUACACGAGACAUUUCCAUACAUAUAAAUAUCGUAUCCUAAAAUGUUCAUGGUCAUAGGAUCACCAAUUGGACAAUGGUGACCUGCAAAGGCAAGUACACAUUAUGUCUGCUCAAUUGAGAGGAUGACUAGUUUCAAGUCAUUCGUGUAGAGACAUUGAGACAGAUGUGUAGGUGCUCUAUAGAAGAUGAAGUCCACUGAACGCGAUCAACUCUAGAAUUCUUGUAUGGAAGUCUUACUCACAAGUGUCAAACAAAGAAUUCUAAGUUGUGAUCAUGCAAAUUAAUCCUUAGACCUGGGACAUCACAGUUGUCUUUGUAUAUGUUGUUUCUCUUUGAGAGCACUAUACGGUCGUAUCAAAAUGAUGUGACUUAAAGGUGUUCCUCAGGAUUCUCAGCGUGUACGCAGAGACAGGUGAAUGUACAACAAGGAAUCUCUACUCUUAAUAAGGAGAGAAUACUCUAAAGAUAUGAUUCGUGAAUCUUUGGCCAAAGUAUUGGAUGGACAUUUAAACAAGAACGUUUGCAAUUUCAUCAAAUUGAAUCAUAUAAUCAAGAGAUGUCAUAUUAGAGAUUUUGACACAAGUUUACCAUAUCCCGAGAAUAUGACAUAAAGUAUUGAACUAGAGAAGGAUCAAAUUGCAUUGUAAUAAUAAACUGACUAGGUUCUCUGAAUGAAUUCUUUUUAGCUAGGGUAGCCAUGACAUACUACUAGGUGUCACUCAUGGCUUGUGGAAGCCCUGUAAGAACUAAUUAUAAUUAGCAUUCACCAAUAGGGAGAAUUGUAUGGAGGGAUACAAUUCACACUUGAUUCAGAGUGAAUCAAUCAUACCCACUGCCUCGCUAAUUAGAACCUAUAAGAUCGCACACCGAAAAGGAAUCGAUUGGGAAAUUAUGAAGAGAAUGAAUGAUUUUGUGACUUGGUCAAAGUCAAUGUGAAAGUCAAAGGUCAAAGUCAAAAGUCAAAGGUCAAAUGGUUGACCCGACACUUGACACGGUCAACUAAGGAUGAUCGGGACCAACACUCGUUAGACAAGGGAGUGAUUGAAUUAGUCAAGUCACUAGAGUAAUUAAAUUGAUUAGAUUAAUUUAAUAUUCAAUUAAAGUUAUGAAACUUUAAUUAAAGAUCCCAUAUGGCGUGGAAAUUCGAAAGGGAUUUGACCAUAUGAACUUAGGCACAUAUGUGACAUAUUAUAGGAUUAAUGUGUUGGGCCAAGAUAGAAAAAGAUGAAACAAAAAAAAAUGGGUGUGGCUACACUAGGCUUGGGGGCAUUUUUGUCACUCUUGUUACAUUUUUUUAUCCUAUAAGUGUGUAGCUAUAGAGUCAUAUCAUCCUAGGAUUUUUCAAGUUGGUCAAUUGGAAGAGAGAAAACAUCAAGCUCUCUCUCCUUAACCCCUUGAAUCUAUCACAUAAAGUAAAGGUGCUAGCACCACUCUUCACUUGUUGUCUACUCAUUCUCUCAUCCCAUUUAAUUAUUGGUGAAGAGCUUUGGGGAGGUGCAAAUCUUUGUACCUAUUUGGAGAGCUACAAGAUGGAGAAUCAACAUCAAAGGGACCACUCCCUCUGUUAAACAACCCGCACACUAGAUGUUGUUCUUUGAUGUAACCAGCUGCAAUAGACUAAACUAGCAAAUAUUAAAAUACUUAGAAACACACAAGAAUUAUACUGGUGCGGCAGAACUUUUGCCUACGUCCAGUUGUGAUUUCUUUAGGUAGAGAAAUCACUGCUCUUUUGAUUAAUAAUAGAGAUUACAGAACUUUUGCAACCCUAGAACUAAUCUCAAAACUCACGGCUGUCUCUGGCUAUUUUUCACCUGUAAAAUAAGCCCUGCCGCACCCUAUUUAUAGAUAUAGAGUUGGCUUAUAUGUCCCAAGGCUGAUUGAAUUCCUAUUCCUAAGUAGAUUAGGAAAUUACACUCAUCCAAAUCCAAAUAAACUUCUAGAAAUCCAAACCUAAAUUGAAUAAGGAAAACGGAAAUUCUUUCAUAAUCCCUCUAGGACAAGAAUCGGUAUAUCUCUAAUUUUCCUAAAACAAUCCUAAACCAACUAGGACAUAUUUAAUAAGCCAAAAUCCUAACAAUCUCCAUCUUGGUGAGUCAAACCAAGUCUUGAUCGUUGCACCCCAUAGUAUCUUUGAACCUCCUUAAAGCAGCUUUAGAAAUCUUCAAGAGUCUUCACCUUGGCAAUCUUCUUCUUGCCUCAUUGCACCUCAAGUGAGGAGGUGCUCCACUUUAAUCAAUAACGAGAUUGAUCAAGUUCCAGCAAUACUUGAACUUCUUGGCCGGCACUAUCUUUGUAAGGAAAUUUGCAGCAUUGUCAUCCGUAUGAAUCUUUUCAAUCCAAAUCUCCUUAGACUCCACCCAAUUUCUGAUUCUGUGAUAUCUUGCUUCAAUGUGCUUUGAUCUUCCAAAAAAAAAACCUUGAUUCUUUGCCAAGUGAAUGGCACUUUGACUAUCACACUUCAGCUUCACACAAUCUUGGGUGAUUCCCAUUUGACUUACCAAGCCACUAAGCCAAAUUGCUUCCUUUCCAGCUUUGGCCAAUGCAAUAUACUCUACCUCUGUGGUCAACAAAGUUGUAAUUGGUUGCAAUAGUGCCCUCCAACUGAUCGGUCCUCCUGCACAUGUAAACACAUAACCAGAAGUUGACCUUCUCUUGUCCAAGUCCCCUGCAUAAUCGGCAUCCACAUAUCCCAACACCCCUGCAUUUUCUUUUUGCUUCUCAAACAUAAUCCUUUGUCGCCAAGAACCCUCCAAAUAAUGCAAAAUCCACUUGACUGCAUCCUAAUGUUGCUUUCCUGGAUUUGCCAUGUAUCUGGAAACAACAUUGAUUGCUUGAGUUAUGUCGGGACAUGUGCAUACCAUUGCAUACAUGAGGCAACCCACGACAUUAGCAUAAGGCAUCUUCUCUAUUACUUGUUGCUCUUCCUCGGACUUAGGACACUAUUGCCCACUUAACUUGAAGUGAGCUGCCAAAGGAGUCGAAACUACCUUUGCUUCUUGCAUGUUGAAUUUCUCAAGAACCUUUUGAAUAUACUUGGCUUGUGAUAUCCAGAUCCUUCCAGCGGUCCUAUCUCUCUGAAUUUCCAUGCCAAGGAUCUUCUGUGCUGCACCUAGAUCUUUCAUGUCGAACUCCUCGCUGAACAUCUUCUUCAAGUCUUGAAUUCUAGACUUGUUUUGACAAGCGAUUAGCAUGUCAUCCACAUAUAGCAAAAGCAAUAUGAUCAUCCCAUCUUGGAACACAUGAUAGUACACGCAACAGUCAUAUAAACAUAUUCUAAAAUUGAUUUUUAGCAUGAAGUAAUCGAACUUCUUGUACCACUGUCUUGGAGACUGUUUCAGGCCAUACAGGGACUUCCUUAACUGACAUACUAGGUUAUCUUUUCCAUAUUCAAUAAACCCUUCUGGUUGAGCCAUGAAAAUUGUCUCCUCUAGAUCCCUAUGAAGAAACGUUGUCUUCACAUGUAUCUGUUCAAUCUCCAUGUCAUGCUGAGUUGCCAUUGCUAAAAGAAAUCUGAUAGAAGUAUGCUUGACUACGGGUGAAAAGAUCUCAUCAUAAUCCACCCCUUCCUUUUGUGAGUACCCUUUAGCCACAAGCCUUGCUUUGAAUCUCACGGCAUCUUGUUCAUGUAGUCCUUCCUUUUUCCUAAAUACCUACUUGCAUCCAACUAGCUUUCUGUCUUUGGGCUUAGGAACCAACUUCCAAACAGAGUUCUUGUAAAGAGACUCCAUUUCUUCUGUCAUAGCACUUAUCCAACUAUCUAGCUCAUCACUUCCUAUAGCUUCUCGAUAAGUAGUUGGAUCUCCUUGACUAAUGUUGAGAGCAUAAUUAACUUCGUCUUGGUUAAACCCAAACCUGUCAGGUUUCUUCUUGUUCCGAUUAGGUUUGUCCAGUGCUAUGCAUCUCUGGAAUGCAGGUGGAUUGUUGAUUGGAGUUCGAACCCUUUGGGAUGUGUGGCAGAUUAGAGUGCCUUCAAUCUACCUUAUUGCUUGCUCCACUUGAUUCCUAACUGGUGAACGAUGCUGAUGCUUUUCUUAUUCCUCAAAACCAUCAGAUUCGGCAUCUUGCUCAAUUUGCUCCACCCGAGCUUCUUCUUCGUCUGAACCGAUUAACGGAAUCUUUGUUGCUUCAAUUUCAGCAUCGUCUUUCUUCUACCUACUACUCUCAACUUUAUUCAGAGGCAUGAUUGUCUCAUCAAAGACAAUAUCUCGGCUGACAACCUUUUUCCUGUUGUUGAUAUCCCAAAGCUUGAAACCCUUCACUCAUUUCUCAAAACCUAAGAAUAUGCAAUGGGUAGACUUUAAUUUGAGCUUGGACCUUUCAUCACUUGGAAUAUGUGCGUAAGCACUACAGCCAAAUACCCUGAGCUUGGAAUAGUCCACCGGCUUCUCAUACCAUACCUCUUCUACACUCUUAAAACCGAGAACUGUAGAUGAUGAUCUGUUAAUCAAAUAACUUGCAUGAUUAACAGCCUCUGCCCAAAAACUAUCAGGCAAUCCCGCAUGGAAUCUCAUGCUCCUCUCUCUCUCUCUCUCUCUCUCUCUCCAUUAGAGUUCGGUUCAUCCUCUCAGCAACUCCAUUUUGUUAGGGAUUCUUCUUUACUGUGAAGUGCCUUAUGAUGCCUUCCUGCUUGCAGUAAUCGGUAAACUCAUUACUCGUAUAUUCACCUCCAUUGUCACUUCUUAGGUACUUGAUCUUUCUUCCAGUUUGAUUCUUGGUUUCUGUUUUCCAUUCCUUGAACUUUGCAAAAACCUCGGAUUUUUGCUUCAUGAAAUAAACCCAAACCUUCCUAGAAAAAUCAUCCAUGAAAGUAACAAAAUACCUGGCUCCACCAUUUGAUUUGGUUGGUGCAAGGCCCCAAACAUCUGAGUGAAUAUAGCUGAGUUGCUCCUUGCUUCGGUUAUCUGCACUGCUACUCGUGAAUGAUACCUUCCUUUGCUUUCCAAGAACACAAUAUUCACAAAAGUCCAGUUUGCAAGAUGACAUGCCUUCCAACAGGCCUUGCUUGUGUAAUUCUUGCAACCCUUUCUAGCUUAUGUGCCCGAGCCUAUGAUGCCAGAGUUCAAUCUUGUCUUAUAUACCUUGAUUUACAGAAACAGCUGCUCCCCCGACUAUAGUGGUCCCAAUUAACUUAUACAACUUAUUGGGUUGUAGGUCACCUCGAAUUACCACCAGUGAUUCUUUCGUUACCCUGAGUCUUCCCUUUUUAGACUCGUACCCAUAGCCGACCUCAUCUAAAGUACCCAAGGAAAUCAAAUUCUUUCUUAGUCUAGGGACAUAUCUAACGUUCCCCAAAACUCGUAUCAUCCCAUCAAACAUUUUGAUUUGAACAGUGCCGAUUCCUUUUACAGGACAUGAAGAAUCAUCCCCCAAGCCAAAUCUUCUAAUCGAUAAUUGGGCCAAAGAAAUAACUUAAAUUUAUUAAGUUUUUUCCCCGCUGCUGACUUCUUUGUAAGUAUCGAACCAUUCUCUUACUACACACAUAUGAAAAGUGCAUUCGGUAUCCAAAAUCCAAUUUGUGAAAGCCUUGGAGCCUGAUGUUACUGAAAGAAACUCCCCGUCACUCUCAUGCUCGGUGACUGCAGUAGCUGAACCUGAGCUUCCUUCCCUCUUGGCUUUCUUCUCUUUCCAAAUCUUGCAGUUCCUCUUCCAAUGAUCGGCUAAACCACAUUCGAAGCAACCUUCCUUUUUUUCCUUUUUCUUCUUGGAUUUUGACCUACCUCUGUUGCAUGUUUUCUCUUCCUUUGUCUUUUCCCGCCCCCUCUCCUUGCCUUUGGCAUAAAGGCCUUGAGAGCUUUCAGUUAUAUGAUCUAGUUUAGCAUAUGACUGAAGAGCUUGAAUUACAUCUUCAAGCUUCAAGGACUCUUUUCCAAACAUUAGAGUUGUUCGAAAGUGCUUGAAAGACGAAGGUAGAGACCUCAGCAAGAUGAUAGCCAUACCAUCAUCUUUGUAAGUUUCUUCGACCUUUUGAAGAUUAGUUAUGCAAUUCUGGAACCUGCAUACGUGAUCUUCAAUAUCACCUCCUUCUUCCAGUCAAAGUCCGAAUAGUUCAUCCUUUAGAAAUAGUUUAUUGGACAUGGUUUUGCCCAUAUAAACAUUCUCCAACUUUUCCCAUGCUUCUUGGGCAGUCAUCUUUUCGGUGAUGUGUGAUUGAACUGGUCUUGUGAGAUGGAUCUUGAUGGAACUCUUGGCCUUCUUGCGAACCUUAGUCCAUGCUGCGUCUGUCAUGCUUGCCGGCUUCUCACCGUUGAGUGCAUCAUCCAAAUCUUGCUGCAUCAGUACAUUCUUCAUCAUCCUUUGCCAGUCCGUGAAGUCAUCCUUACCGUCAAAGGGCUUUAACGUAGGUCCUAAAUCCGCAUUCAUCUUCCCUUUAGACAUCGUAGAACCCCUUGAGCCAAUCUCUGAUAUCAAUUGUUAAAUAACCCGCACACUAGAUCUUGUUCUUUGAUGUAACCAACGGUAAUAGACUAAACUAGCAAAUAUUAAAACACUUAGAAACACACAAGAAUUAUACUGGUUCGGCAGAAUUUUUGCCUACGUUCAGUUGUGAUUUCUCUAGGUAGAGAAAUCACCGCUCCUUUGAUUAUUAAUAGAGAUUACAGAACUUGUGCGGCCCUAGAACUAAUCUCAAAACUCUCGGCUGUAUCUGGUUGUUUUUCACCUCUAAAAUAAGCCCUGCCGCACCCUAUUUAUAGAUAUAGAGUUGGCUUACAUGUCCCAAGGCUGAUUGAAUUCCUAUUCCUAAGUGGAUUAGGAAAUUACACUCAUCCAAAUCCAAAUAGACUUCCAGAAAUCCAAACCUAAAUUGUAUAAGGAAAACUAAAAUUCUUUCCUAAUCCCUCUAGGACAAGAAUCGGUAUACCUCUAAUUUUCCUAAAACAAUCCUAAACCAACUAGGACAUAUUUGACGAGCCAAAAUCCUAACUCCCUCUACUUGAACAUCAUUCUUGGUUUCAAGAUUCGCUCCAAGGAUAUGAACAUCUUAUCUUUUUCUCAAAUAGGAUUUAAAGAGUCUUUGGUGCACACUUUCAUAGACUUAUAAAGAUUGGGACCAAAUGAGACUUGCAUGAAUCCCUAGUUUAUUUAAUGCAUCUGCUCUUACUUUGAUUUCAUAUUAGAUAUGGCAUGCUAGGUGAUUUAUACUCUCAAAGUUUGGUUGUAGAGUUUUUAGAAAUCUUUACACAACACCAUUCUCAUAAUAUUCCCUUCACCCAUAUACUCUAACCUAUGGACAUGACGCAAUUCUACCCAUGGAAAUCAUAGUCCAGUCCAUCAAAAUUGCCCUGCAACAUAACUUAGUUGGAGAAGACUAUUCACAGGCAAUGCUGCUAGAAUUUGAGGGAUUGGACACGAGUAGAAUUGAUACCCUUAACAAACUCUUAGUAGGAAAACAAGCUGUGGCAAGAACUUAUAAUAAGAGAGUUAAAAACAAGAGCUUUGAAGAGGGAGAAAUCAUCCGAAGAGCAAUUCUGCCCCUUGGAUCCCACGUGGCUGGUUAUGGAAAAUGGUCACCCACAUGUGAAGGCCCUUUUCUAAUUAAACAAGUCCUUGGAUUGGGGGCAUACAGGUUACAGGACCAAGAUGGAGAAAUCCAUGCUGCACCGAUUAAUCGCAAAUGGUUAAAGAAGUUCUAUCCAACUAUGUGGAAUUCACAAGUAGUACAAACAGAUCCUGGGAUCGAAGGAGAAGUGGAUAGAACUAUUGCUUGACUUUUGAAUAGUUGAUGUAUAUAUGUGGUUCAUUUUUGUGUAUUCUGCCCAUAUGAGAUGUUUGAAUGAGGCGAAAAUAUGAAAAUGCAAGAUUGGCAGAAAUUAAUAGAACUUUUCAUUCAUAAUUGUCAUGAAUAAAUGACUAAGUUUUAUUACAGAAUAGAUAUUUUCUAGAGGCCUAGUUUCUUGAGAGUCUCUUGCAAUCCAGCCUUCUUAACGGAGAUCUCAAACUGGAGAAGCACUCCUUGAUGAAUGGAGGCCUCUGCAAUCUCUAGUGCAUGCCUUGAAGUUGCGACCAUGCUUUGCAAAAGGAAACUAGACUUGGUCUUCGCACCCAAUCCAGCUCUAAGAUUCUUCUGCCUCUCCCUUAGUACAACUAGUUGCUUAUGGAGGUUCUCAAUGUCCUUUUCUAGCUUAUCAGCGGCGGAUUUAGUCUCCUUGUAGUCUGCAACCAAUGCAUCCAGUUCUAACUUCUGCUUCUGAUAUUCUACCAGCUUGGCUUCACGCGUAGCCUUGCAGGAUUCAAAAGCACUAAAGGAGGGUUUGAGAUCUUCAUAUCGGUUGUGAAGGUUGAUUACAUCUCUGGCCAGACCCAGGCUGAUCUCAAGAAUAGGUCGAGAAGCCAUGUUCUCCUUGUGCAGCAGGUCCAGAUCUUUCAUCAGUUUAUCAAUAAUUUCUUUGUUCUCAUCCAGAUCCAGCUCAGUGGACUGCCAGAUUUUUAUUCUGUCCACCGCCUCAUCCACUGCUUCGGACUUGGAUUUGCUUGGAGUGGAUCCUAGUUUUUCAAUCCUCUGCAGCUGAGCAUCCAGGUCCAUAGCUUCAAACUCUGCCAAUUCUGGUUCAGCAAAGGAGGCUGUGGUUGAUGAGCCUGGGACAGAAUGAAGGGGCAUCUGCAUAAACUAGCCCCAGUUAGGUUCUAUCUCAAACUAAAAUCAGGAAAUGGGAUUGGCCUAGCAAUACUUACAGCCACGUCAUGGGCUUGAGAGGGCUUUAGUAGAAAAUGGCGAUUUAAUUUGCAACCUAUGAUUACCGAUCACUGAAUUUUUAGCAGUCCAAAUUACUCAAAUUAAAAUGCUAAAAAUCGUUUUAAUUGCUUUUGUUUUCCUACCCUUUUUUUCUCGGUAACCAAACAAUCAGGCCAGCAAAACCUCUAUAAACGGCAGCGUGUUAAUAUUUUUUUAACGAAAUGAAAACAAAAACGUAAAAAUUGCAUAAGCUGAGAGAGAGAAAGAGACCUGGAUUUGACACUUCUUCUUGUCGGCCUCGGACCGCUUAACGAGAUCAGCGACGAAGCGGAACCUCCUGCAAGGGUUCUUGAGCACAACUGCAACAAGCAUGCUAACUGAUCCAAGUAAAAUGCAGAGUAACCAUAGUUGCCAGCUUAGUGGAACAGUGCUAGCAAAAGCUCCCAAGAACUCUACUAUGAUAACUUGGAAGGCCACUGUGCAAACCACGACGCCUAGGAAUACCCGGCUGUCAAACAUGCCCACGAAUAUGUUUAUCUUCUCUAUGUCACGGCUGUUUAUCUCAUUAAACACCUGAUAAAAACAAAAGCAAACAAACAUCAUAUGUAUGCGGGAUUCGAGUACUUACGCUGGUGUGUUAAGAUUUCAGAGAGACAGACGGACACAUGCAUAGCCCAGAAGAAGUUAUAGGCCGUAUUAAAGUUAAACAUGUUGAUGAUGCAAGAGAAAACCAGGGUUGCUUUUAACCAGUAAAAUGUACCUGGCAAAACACAAAUGCGUUGAAUAUCAGUGUGUCUAGAACUUCAGUUGCAUCUGAACCAGAAAGUCCAAGAAGCUGUUUCCCAUAGAAAUUGAGAACUCCAAGGACAAUCAGUUGAUAGAUACUCUGGCCAAUGAUAUUCCUCCACAUGGCCUUGGUUAUGAAGCUUGUACCCCAACCAACAGAGGGCCUUUUUAUAAGUCCAUCACUUGGAGGCUCUGUUCCCAGUGCCAAUGCCCCAAGAGUGUCCAUAAUCAUGCUGACCCAAAGCAAUUGCACAGCCGUAAGGGAAGCAGAUCCUGAAAGAGAUCUGAAAUUUAUCGUUAUUUAUUUGUGUCUUUCUAAACAAAUAUAAUGGUGUAGCAUGCGAGAAAAAUCUGCCAGACCAACAUACCUGAGACACAUGCAGAAACAAAAUUGAUUAUUAGAGCAACAACGUUAACUGUCAACUGGAACUGCACAAACUUUUGAAUGUUUAUGUACACUGAACGUCCCCAUCUUGCCACAUUUACUAUAGUCUUAAAAUUGUCAUCCAAUAUGACGACAUCAGCACUUUUCUUGGCAACCUGUAUAUACCAUCCAUGAAUUGGCUAUUCAGAACUAGGAACAACAUCCAAUUAUCAAGCAGCCGGGAGGAGAAAACAAAUCCUAAAUGACACAAAAUGGUAGUUAACCUUAUGCACAUUCAGAUUGCAGGAAACCAAAAAAGGCCCUGUCGAUAAUUAGCUAAAUAUAAUUGAGUAGUUGAUUUAAGCAGAGGGACUUGCGAUUUCCAGAAAUGAGCAACUGAAAUUUAUUGGAAGGAUACCAUUCCAAGUAUACUACUUGGACAAAGUAAUGGUUCAAAUAUGAUUUAGAAAAGUCAUAGAGCAGCUCGUUGAGGUACAUGUUGUAGUUUGGAGUUGCCUUUUCCUUUAGCAAGCGGUAUAUGCUAUAAUUAGCAAGAGGACCAGAGGGAAAUCACAGUAAAUAUCUCAAGUUGGCCUAUUCCCCAAGUCAAGGGGUUUUCAAAAGCAACAUAAAUUGACAAAAAGAACAAGACACCAAUUUCUUUUUCUGGUAAAUGUUAUACAAGUUACAACAAUCAAGUUGCAUUCACCAGCUUCUUGGUAGGAGGGUACGUAAGAGGGCAGUUCUUAUCACAUCUAAGGCUUUUUCAGGUUUUCUUAGGAAGCAGUUCUAUUUUGGUGGUCAUUUCUGUCCAAGGGUAAAUAUGGGCAUGAGGCACCAAAAUAGUAAUAUUAGUAACAAAAAUAAUAAAACAAACAACAAUAAUUCGAAACUACAGCCUUAAUUGUUUUUUCUUCUGGCUACGCACCAAGAAUAUAUCUUUAACAUAAUUGUUUUACUCAGUAACAUGCGCAACAUGUGUCCUACCAUCAAAGAUUAUGUGUCUUGUCAACGCAUUCUACAUGUGACAUACAUGAAAUGAGUUCGAAUGAAAUAUGUGACAAAUCAUGUUAGUAGCCAUGCAUGGAGUAAAUCAAUUUUGUUGGAUGAAAACAUUUGAAAGUUUCAAGGAAAAAAAAGUUGCAAAGUGAUAGUAAGGAGAAGUUACAGGUAAAGAAAUUCCAAGGAGCAACAUAGGAUUAAAUCAUCAGUCUGAAAAUGGGUGUUAUAGAAUAAGUUAUUUGAGUAAGAUGAUGCUAGGUCAUCAAGGUUGAGAUACACACAAGAAAAAGUAGCUGAGACACAAACCUCUGUUCCUGCUAUGCCCAUAGCAAGUCUAAUGUCUGCCUUGUGCAAAGCAGGAGCGUCGUCGGCCCCAUCGCCAGUCACUGCAACUACCUCACCAAAUUCAUCUCUCAGAGUUUUUACCAAGGUGUGCUUAUCCAAUGGUAAAGACCGAGCCAUCACCUGUAUCCACAUGAACAUUUAAAUUUUUUGUGAACAUCUUUAAAUAGUUAUGGUUGAGGGUGAAAAUUUUCUAAUGAAAUUAUUUAGUAACCUGAAUCCUCGGUAUAACAGCUUUCUUCUGCUCAAGAGACAUGUUACGAAACUCCUGUCCUUCUAUGGCUAAACCAUCUUCUGUGAGUAUGCCGCAUUCUUUAGCUAUGGCUUUAGCUGUAUAUAUAUUGUCACCAGUGACCAUUCGUACAGUUAUUCCAGCAGAUAAACAAGUUUGAACUGCGUCCUUUACCCCAGGGCGCACAGGAUCCUUGAUACCGACAACUGCUAUCAAUGUAUAGCCAUCAUCUGGGAUGUCAUUUUCGAUGGAAGAGUCAUCUAUAUUUUUGAAAGCCAAGCAGAGCGUUCUCAAGGCUUCAGAAGCAAAAGAAUUAAUGACAUCUGUGAUAUUCUUUACCUGUUCUCGGGAGAGAAUAACAGAUUCUCCUUUAAAGUCAAUAAAUUUGUUACACAUUCCCAAUACUAUUUCUGAUGCACCUUUGCAAAAGGCGCGUUUACCACCAUGAGGAUGAGCUACAAGCACAGACAUUUUCUUCCUCACAGAAUUGAAAGGUUCAACCUUAAGAAUAUUAACCUCUCUGCGCACGGCAUCAAAAUCGCCACCCAAAAGUAAACCAAAUUCUAAUAAUGCCGACUCUGUUGGUGUCCCCAAAAUGGAGGUCCUUCCAUCUUCCUUAAUAACCUCAGAGCUUGUAUUUUGGAAUAUAACCUGUAAAAGGAUGCUUGAUGCUCCAGAUAUUUCUGAACUCAAUAUUUCUUUACUCUCAUUACCUUUUACAUCUAAAGUUUUUUCACAUAUCCAUAGCUUGUUAACUACCAUGUGGGUUGUGGUUAAUGUCCCUGUUUUGUCUGUGCAAAUGCAACUAGCAUAACCCAUUGUCUCACAUGCUGAGAGAUGCCUUACUAGUGCCCUAUCAUUCAUUAAUUUUUUCAUAGCAAAAGCAAGGCUCAGCGGCACUGCCAAUGGUAAUCCUUCGGGAACUGCAACAACAAUUAUAGUUACCGCAAUAGCAAAGUAGUUCAAUAGGAUUACUGCAUCAGUUGAAGACCAAUCAGUGAUCUCGUUGUUAAGUAUUUUUUCCACCAAAAAUCUUACUGCCAAUACCAAAAAUGUCAACACAGCAAAACUCAGACCAAUUUUACCAAUAAUUGUAGCAACACCAUUCAGCUUUACCUGCAGUGGGGUCUCAUCUUCUCCUCCUUCACUCAGAGUUUCCAUCAACUUUCCCCAUUCAGUUCUCAUACCAACUGUUGUCACCAGCAUUAUACCUGACCCAUCCUGCACUUUAGUUCCUGAAAGAAGAAAAGGCUUCUCUUCAUAUACAUUGACCGGCUCACUCUCACCUGACAAGCUUGACUCAUCAAUCAGCAAAGAGUAUCCUGAUAUGAAAAUCCCAUCAGCUGGAACUUGGUCCCCAAUUGACAAAUGGACAAUAUCUCCAACAACCAAGUCAUAAAUGGAAACUUUUUGUCUUUUUUUAUCCCUAGUGACCUGAACAAAAAUCUUUUUCUUCUCCCUGUCCAAAUCCUUGAAUUGCAACGACUGUCUGUAGUCACUAAUAGCAGUAACCAUAACCACUAAAACUAUACUAGUUAAAAUUCCCACACCAUUGUACAUGCCUUUUGGCCAACCCUCAGUGGCAAUUUCAACUCCUAUUGAAACCACAGCGCAUACCAUAAGGAUAAUUAAUGUUAAGUCUUGUAGGGCUUCCCAUACAAACAUAAAAAAUGUUCCGGGAGGUUUCUCCGUAUAGCGGUUUAGGCCAUAAACAUUUUGCCUGAUUGGUAUGUUACUAUCCUUGACACCUUCAUCUAGCGAGACACAGACUUUCCUUAAAAUCCCAUGAAUUCCACCAUGCAUUUUCAAGGCCUUAAUAUCAUGGCCACACGUGAUAGAUGCAAGUUCAUCUCGGUGAAUGCUGAAACCUGCAGUUCUGGCAUCUUCAGACAGCUUGUAUUCAUCCUGUCCUGGCUUUUCAUUGGAUCGAUCACCAGCACCAUGCAUUUUCGAGGCCUUAAUAUCAUGGCCACACAUGAUAGAUGCAAGUUCAUCUGGGUGAAUGCUGAAACCUGCAGUUCUGGCAUCUUCAGACAGCUUGUAUUCAUCCUGUCCUGGCUUUUCAUUGGAUCGAUCACCAGCACCAGCUUCAUAAGAUCACAUAACAAAGAGAGAGAAGGAAUGAGAGAGAAGGAAUGAAUACAUGACAUCAGCACACACAUAACGAACUUUUACUUGACCUAUAAACUUAAAGAUGAUACCUUCAAUAAAAUGCAGUGCUGCUUGCUGAACAUAAAGAGCAACUCGAAUCUUUUCCUGGUAAAACAAAGAAGAAUAACAAAGUCAAAAAACAGAUGACAAUCACAGUCCCCCAGAACAAUAGUAGCAGUAAAAGUUCACAAGUCAAAGUCUUCAACUGAAAAUAACAGAGUAACCACCGAGUAUAUUCAAACAUAUAUAGCUUACAACCACAUUUGUGCAUCUGCACGCAUAUAUGCAGUUGUUUCUCUUGUACAGUCCUCAAAUAAGAUCUUUAACGAAGUCCUAUUAUCAGUUAUUACAUCAGAUUUGAACUACUCUCAAUGCAUCUCAGCAUUCAACAUAUACAAGGUAUUAAAAGUUGUUGCAGGUCCAAAAACACAAACAUUUACAGAACUAUUAACAAACAAUUGAUACGAACUAAAACUUUCCUUUAUUUCUAAAGGGAGAAUUCAAAAGCCUAUUUUUCAAUUUUGUUUGUUUUGAACAAAAUAAUCUUCCAGGUUUGAAAUAGUAUAUUAUGGGAUUUCAACAACUAUCAUGAUCAUUUGGUGGAGUAAUGGGAUUUCAACAACUGUCACGAAUCCUAGUAUGACCAACAAGAUUUUCAGGGUAUAAGGAAAAAAAAGAGUGCUGCUAAAAGAAUCCUAAUAUUAAUUGAGUACACCCUACUAUCAAAUUAUUUAUUGAAUUACUAAUUUACCUUAAUAUAAAAUGACCAAAAAGGAUAUAUUGAAUUGUGAAACACCCUCGACGAAUCCUCCACCGAACAUAGCAACGCCUCCUUCAUAAUAUCGUUUCCUCCACCGUCACACUAACACCGUCGUCAUACCAUCCACUUCUCCACCGUUACAGUAACGCCCCAUCAUACCAUUAUACUAACGCCGUGGUCGUCUAGUAUUGGUAAAUCUCAUUUUGAUUUUGUUAUCAAAUGGGUUAUACUGUCUUGAUUUGUUCUUCACAAGCUAAAAUGUUUUGUAACCCUCCUCUAGAAAUUGGUUUUAAUUCGUUCUUCAAAGGGAGAAGUUUAUGGGUUGUUUAAUGUUGAUUAUCUGAAGAGAUCCAUGACCAUGUGGGUAUGCUGUAGUCUUGCUGCAAACAUCGGAAAUGCCAUCAUAGCUUUUCUGGUUUAGAUUCAAAUAAUAUGUUAAGGGCCCAUGAAAAUCCCUUCAUAUAACUUGUGAAACCAAAUAAUAAGUUGAAUGUUCGUGUUUGUAGUUCAAUUCAAUACAUUUAUAAAUAUGAAAAGAGGGCACGAAUUCAUGUAAAAAGAGAAACUUGGUUUAGGAUUGGCAUUAGAGUGUAUUAGGGUGUAACAUGGGUAUUUUUGGUAGUUAAAUAGGGUGUACUUAGUUAAUUUUAUAUUUUAUUUAAAAUAUUAUGGUGUACUUAGAUCAUAGAGUGUACUUAGUUAAUUUUAGGGUUCGUUUAGCAGCACUCAAAAAAAAAAUCAUGAAUCCUAGUAUUUAGUAUUAACCCUAGGAUUUAUUAUCACGCAAUAAAUCUCAGAGUCCUCAAUUCUUUAGCAUGACCCUAGUAUUAUACCAUAAAAUCAAAAUUAAAACUAAGUUUUUCUGGCCCAUAAGAUACUAUUUUGAAGUAUCUUUCACUUUCAGCAUUAAUAUAACUUAGCAAAUUUCACUUGAAAGUUGGAAGUUGGAGCUAAUAUAUAUUUUCUGUUUAAGAAUUACUGAACUUAACAUACUGUUUUUUAAUACACGAAAGCAUACAUUGGUGCUGACAAUUAUUAUUUCAGAAAGACGACCAAAUCCGUAUGCGCACGUGUUUGACUGAAAAUCACAAUCAACUGAAAUCAAACACAUAGUUGAGCACGAUCUGCCAACUCUUGCAACCCCUUUUUAAGUUUUAUAAUCAAACAAGACGUUAAUGUAAAAACAAUUUUUCUUGAUAAUUUAAUACGAUCCAUAAUACUCCUUUAACAAAACAAACAAAAAACAAGUGAAGAAUACUUUUAUGCCAUGUUAGCAUCGGGACUGCACAUACAUAUAUGCGAGAUGAAUGAUAUUCAUAUAAAUUGAAAUAGCAUGGAAAAUAUUAAAUUGGUGGACCUAAUCAAACCCUUGCUCAAAAGUAAAUGAGACUAGCCUUUCUGCACGCGCUUCCGGGCCUGCGAGAGGCUUUUUUUAAAAAAAUUUAAAUUUAUUUUAGAAUUAAAAAAGAUAAUGGGUAGUUGUGUUUCAUAAAAAUAGGAUACAUAUUCUGAUUUUUCUUUUAAUUUAAUUUUUUUAAAUAUAAAAAGUGCGAAUUUACCAUAUUAUCCUCAUUUAAUACCCACCCACUACCAACACGACGAAACCCUCUUAUUUUAAAGUCAUUAUUUUUGACAUUUUUGUCAUGCGAAAGUUCCUAGAAAUUUCGUCCCUUGCCAUUUUUGGAAGAUGAAGUCAGAAAUGUCUUUUUAUUAUAUUCGUACCCAUCAGCGCGACCAGAAAAACUGUUUUUUGGUUAUAACAUUUCUGACUAAGCGUCGUUUUCCGUUGAGGCAAAUGAAAUUGAGUUUUUUAAUUUUAAACGCAAGUACCUACUAUAAAAAGUACUGCAUCGGAAAAUUGAUAUUUUCUUUUGGACAAACUACAUAAAAUUCCUUAAAUUAUAGGGUUAUGUUCAAAUUCAUAUUCAAUUUUAGAUAUAUUUACGAGUACAUAUUCAAAUUCCCGAAAAACCUACAAAUUAACCCCACCAUCAAUCAGACUGUUAAUAAGUCAGUUAAAUGCUGAUGUGGCGAAUGUGAAUUCCAUUUUUUAAUGAUAUAGACUCCAUGUGGAAAAAAAAAAAAUUAACUAUAUAAAACGGACGGGGAUAUCAAUACCACGAGCUCUCAAACGGACGGGGAUCGAAAAACAGUACUACAAUAAAGAAAUUGAGAACAAACGUGGGACCACCCACGACUAACGCAUUGUAAGCCGAAACAAAAUCCCUAGCCUCCUGCUUGUCUUUCUUUCUUUCAUUUUGUGAGUUCUAAUCCAAAAUAAAUAUCAUCCAUUCAGCAGGAAAUGACGAUUUAAUUUACAACCUACGAUUAGCGAUAACUGAAUUUUUAGCAGUCCAAAUUACUCAAAUUAAAAUACUGAAAAUCGUUUUAAUUUCUUUUGUUUUCCUACCCUUUUUUUCUCGGUAACCAAACAACCAGGCCAGCUAAACCUCUAUAAACAGCGGCGUGUUCAUAUUUUUUUAACGAAAUAAAAUAUAAAAAAAAAAACUGCAUAAGCUGAGAGAGAGAGACCUGUCUUUGAAGCUUCUUCUUCUCGGCCUCGGACCGCUUAGCGAGAUCGGCGACGUAGCGGAACCUCCUGCGAGGGUUCUUGACGACCGCGACGGCUUUUCUCCAUCUCCGAAUAGCUUCCUCCGAAGGAUUCUUGUUCUCCACCUCGAAGUCCUUCAAGUACCUCUCCAUUUCCACUGUUUUUUUCUCAGUCCUCACAACAUUCAGAGAGACGCAGAAAAAGAGAGAGUCGCUCGGAGGCGAAGACUAGAGGGAGAGAAGGAAAGGAACGGAAGGGGAAGCCAAAGGUCUGGAGUUGCAGUCUUUUAAGAUCCAGAAGUCCACACGCGGAUAGUUGGACGACUAGGAAAGAUUCCGUACAUGUGCGUGCAAAACGUUUGUCCUGUGGCCUACCGUAAGAGCAACUCCACUGAGCAGCUGAGCCAAGGCUGGGGAAAAAAAAAAAAAUUCGUUCCAACGGUGAGUCCAAGCUCGGGUUGGGAGUGGGUUCCAUCAAUUCGGGCUAACUCGAAGGCCAGUUCAACACGCGUCAAUGGUAAAAAAAAUUUGAACCAGCGCACUGACGCCAGCUCUAACGGAAAGAAGCCACGUGUCACGCCCCUAGCACUCCGAUCAGCUUCUUUGAAUCCAAUCCAACGGCUAGCAUUUUUUGGUCAAUAAAAUUAUGAAAAAAAAUCGAAAUUUUUUUAAAAAAAUUCUAAAAAAUUCUGAUUUUUUUUUCUUUCUAUAAAUACCUAUAAAUACCCUUCACUUUCAACACCAAUCCUCAUACAUUUCAUUAUACUUCUACUAUUAUUCACUAUUUACUCAACAUUUUCCUCUCUUUCACCUUGUAUUUUUAUUUCUUAUUUUUAUGGCUUCUUUUAUCGAAACCGGAGGGGCUUAGAGCACCAUGGAAGAUGUUUCCUCGUGUGAGGCUUGGCUCCAAAUUUGUCAUUGUCCCGUGUCCAGCAAUGAGAUGAAAUUUUUUCAUAUGUGGAAAAAAAUUCAUUCCGACUUUUGUGAAAAAAUUCCGGAGUCUACUCGUACGGAGAUGGCAUUAUCUAGUAGGUGGAAAAUUCUCAAUAAAUAGUUGGGAAAAUGGAGAGAUGCCUGUAAAAGCGAUGGACAACUAUAGAAGCGGGGAAAAUGGCACUAACGAGGUAAAUAUUUUAUAAUUUUUGUUUUAUUAAGUUUAAUCUCCUAAUAUAUAUAAUUUGUUAAUAUUUAUUGCAUUUUAAAUAUUUUGUUAAUAUUUUUUGCAUUUUAAAUAUUUUGUUAAUAUUUCUUGCAUUUUCAAUAUUUUGUUAAUAUUUCUUGUAUUUUCAAUAUGUUGUUAAUAUUUCUUGCAUUUCCAAUUGUUUCUUAAUUUUUCUUGCACUUCUAAUUUAUUUGUAAGGUUAAUUGCAUUUCUAUUUUUUUUUUUUGUUACUUGCAUAUCCAAUAUAUUUUAAAUAUUUAUUGCAUUUCCAUUUUUUUGUUAAAUAGAUGAUUCAAGCACAGAUGUGGUUUGGUGCAACCGGGGGUGGCAAAAAAAGUUUCAACCAUCAUGAAUGUUGGGAGGUGGUGAAUUAUUGCAAAUGCUUCAUAAUUAUUCCGACGGGUCCCACCGUUGUGUUAAACGAGACGCCACUCCGUGAUUCAAUGACAUCGGAUUCACCUCUCGAUUCCCCUAUGAGUCAAGACUCACCCAUCGAAAAGGAGCCGAGGCCCAUUGGCCGAAAGGCCGCGAAAGCAAAGAAAGCGGGUAAUUCAAGCAAUAAUAAUUCAAAGUUUUUGGAGGAAAUUGCAAGGCAAAACGGCAUAAGAAUUGAAAUGGAGUAGAAACCCUCGGAUAACGAGUUGGCCCUUCAAGCCGAGUAUGCACGAGAAAGGGAGUAUUUGCGCAAAAAAGAUAUGGACAAGACAGAUUGGGAAACCAUGGCGAUGGAUACAAGCCAUAUGUCCCUUGAAACAAAACAAUUUUGGAAGCUAGAACGAAGGGAUGUUAUGAGAAGAAGACUUUUCCGGGAUGAUGGGCUUAGCAACACGGAUUGGUUAAAUGAUGGAAACCAUUAAAUUAGUUAGCAUACCUUUUUAUGUAUUUGUAUUUUUCAUGUUUUCUAUUAAAGUUGUUGUAAUUCAUGUAUUUUAUUUUAGUAGUAGUAAUUCUUAAUGACUUGUAUUGGAUUUCUUUAUUUAAUAAACAAAGCAUUCAAUAAAAUACCUUUUUAUUCAACAUAUUCCAUACUUCAAACAAAACAAAAUUAAAAUAAAAAAAUACAAACAAGGCACAAUAAUAAUAACAAACCACAACCAAAUCAUAAUAAAUAAAUAAACAACACAACCUAACCAUAACUAAAUAAAACAUAACCAAAGCAUCUAUGCUCCAUCAUUCAUCUUCAUUGCCUUUCACCGCCCAUAGAUGCUCCAUCAAGUGAACUUGGCGCAUUUCAUGAAUAUACAAAGAUUGCAUCUCUGUAUAUCGAUCUAUCAUCUGGGUCAUGAAACGAUCAUCCCUCACCAAUGGUUCCGGCUCAAAAGGUUCUCCACUUGGCCCCAUGGGCCUUUCAUAAAUCCGUGUCAAGGCCGUGUUCAUUGGAUCCGGUUCGUAGACCUCUAAAGCAUCAUAAUCGUACUCAUCCUCCACAAUCAUAUUAUGGAGGAUGAUGCAAGUCAUCAUAAUGCUUCUGAGGAUCUCCUCAUCAAACAUACGGGCCGCACCUCGAAUAAUCAACCACCGAGCUUGAAGGAUGCCAAAAUACCUUUCGACAUCUUUCCUGUAUCCUUCUUGAUAGGUAGCAAAUAAUUUUUGCUUCUGGGAUCGGGGAUUCGGAAUGAAUUUGACAAAAGUGGUCUACCUCGGGUAGAUGUCGUCAGCUAGAUAAUACCCUGUUUGGUACACUAUAUUGUUGACUUGAUAGGUGAUAUUGGGGCCCUGGCCUCUCAAUACAUCGUUGAAGACCGGGGAUUGACCAAGCACGUUGAGGUCAUUUUGGGAUCCUGCAACUCUAAAGAAGGCAUGCCAAACCCAUGUGUCGAAGCCAGCAACGGCUUCAAGGAUGAUACUUUUUUGGCCUUUUCUAUUUCUGUAAUCACCUUGCAAGGCAGUUGGGCAAUUCUUCCAUUGCCAGUGCAUGCAGUCGAUGCUACCAAUCAUUCCUGGAAAUCCUCGAGCUUUGGCUUUUUGUAGAAGCCGUUAGAGGUCCCUGGGAGUAGGUCUACGCAGGUAGUCCCUAGUGUACAGAGUUUCAACUGCUUGACAAAAUCUUACCAAAGCCUCCAAAGUAGUGGACUUCCCCAUCCGGGCAAUCUCAUCUACCUGAUUAGUAGAUGCUUCAUACGCCAACAUUCGUAUAACAGUUGUAAGCUUUUGCUCCGAAAAAAGCCCCAAAACCCCAGCAGCAUCACACUUUUGAACAAAGUAUGUAUCAUAAUUGUAAAUAUCAUGCAUGACUUUAUUGAACAAAUGGGGUUGCAUUCUAAAUCGCCUUCGAAAAUCAACAUCAGAGUACAAAGAAGUUGGGAUAAAAUAAUCUUCCAAAAGAUUCUUACCCCGAGAAUGUCUAUGUUUGUCCACAUUCCGGCGGUGGCCGACUUGUGAACUGCGGCGGCGACCUUUGUUCUCUUCAUCUUGCAAAGCCACUGCUAUGACAACUUGUUCAUCGACUUGUCUCUGCAACUCAUUGAUUUCAUCUGCUCUACAGUUUCUCUCAUUUGUUUCUCGCUCUUGCCUCUCCAAGCAUCUCCUAAAAUUUUCCAUUGAGAAUGAAUGGAGUAUGAAUUCUAAACUCUGAGAAAUGAAAAUAUAGAAAGAUGUGGUGUGAGAGGUAUGAGUUGAGCCUCUAGUUUUAUAGAAAAUUUUGGCAAGAUAGACAUGCCACGUGGCUUGAUUUGAUUGGAUGAAAAUCUUAUCUGAAAUUUGAAAUUCAUCCGAAAUUUGAACCCAAAUUUGUAUGAAAUUUGAAUUUUGAAAUUCAUCCGAAAUUUGAAUCCAAAAAUCUUAUUUGGAAAUUUUAUCCGAUUAUGAAUAGUCUUGACACGUAGGAACUCGGAAAUCUUAUCCGAAAAUAUUAUUCAAAUUAAUUAUUUUCGUUACAAAAUUUGUGAAAAAAACAAAAAAAAUAAAUAGUAAUUGCCCUUAGUCAUGGCAAUGGGUGAAAACACAAAAUACUAUUAGCAAGGGCAACCACUAUUCACGUGAAUAAUGGCUGCCCUAGCUCCCCCCUUGCCAUGGCUAAGGGUAAAUGGGUGGAGUUGCUCUAAUACAUGGCACAAGUUAGUUUUUGUUUUUCAAAUUUAUCUUUAUUAAAUAUAUUGGCUUUUAUAUUCCUUCAAUUUAUUCAAAUUUUAUUACAACUUCCUUAGUAUAUUAUUAAAAAUUAAAUACGAAAAAACGCCCUUUUUUUUUUGGUGAAAAAAAUAAAGUUUGUUUCAUGACAUAUAUCAUCUUUCUUUUUGGUUUAACAAAACAUACGUCCUCUUUGAAAAAAAAAAAAAGAUAAAAAACUUCAGUUUUUAUUUUUAUUUUUUAAUUUUUUAACAAGGUAGUAAGAAAGUUGUACAAAAACAAGCUUGUUAUUUAAAAAAUAUAAUACAUUUAAUAAGGGUAAACUUGGAAAAUAAAAUUUAAUUUAUGUGAUGCAUUAAUGACAUUGUAAGAGCAUCACCAAUGUGGGGGGUGUAUAAGGAGAUAUAUGUUAAAUAUACACCUGUUGUGAUCGGAAUCACCCGCAAUGGGGGUGUAAAUGGAUGUAUAAUUACAUCACCACCAUGAGAUGUAAAUAUAGAUACAAUUGUACAUCUAUUUUUACAUCUCUUGCAGGUGGGACCCAGUUGGAAAAAAGAGAGAAAAAAUAGAGAAAAGUCAGCAUAAAAAGUGGGACCCACGGCUACAGUAAUUUCUAGAAAAAAAAAAAUUUCACAUGUUGUUUGCUCAUUUGUGGUUUUCAUGCUCCCCCUAAUGUUUUUGGAUGAAUCAUAUCUUCUCCGAAUUUAAAUAUUUUUAGAUCUAUUUGUUUGAAAAAUUAAAAUUAACCUAAUACAAAACAAAAAAUAUUUAUAAAGUAAACACAAAGUACAAAUUUAACGCAAAAAUGAAUUAAGACAAACAAAACAAUUAUACAUCUUAGAUUUACAUCUUUUCUCAUUGGAGCAAAAAACGUGGCUUUACACUCCCGAAUUUACACCCCUCCCCCCCAGCCCCAAUUUAUGAUGCUCUAAGUGUAAGUAAAAUAACACUUGUCAUGAAAAAAAGGGAGAAGAUCCAAAAGAGAAAGUUAGAGACAAUGUGCUAGCAUUCCCCUUAUACAAAUUAGAAAGUGACACUAAUUUUCCCUUUGAGGAUUUAUUAUUGUGGUUAAAUUUUGGACUCAUCACAUUUGUCUUUUUUUUUUUUUUUUUCUUUUUUUUACUUUAAAAAAAAAUGAAAAUCACAUUAGUAGUGAAGAAGUAUCCCAGACUUUUUAGCUAUAAAGAAAAAAUAAUAAUAACUUGACCAAAAUACCCUAAUUCUGAAAUUCUCGAAGUUUGACUUAGCAUUAUGGGCUAAAUAUAUAAGAAAAAAAAAUAGAGUAUAGUUUAGUGAUAAAAAAAAAUAGAGUAUAGUUUAGUGUUUGCCAAAAAAAUAGAGUAUAGUUUAGUGAUAAAAAAAAAAAAUUUAAGAUAUCAUAAAUUAAGUAUUUUGGUUUUGGAUUUGGUGAAUGGGUUUUGAAUUUUGUUUUAUAAUAGGACAAUAGUGUAGCCCAAAUUGGAUGGACCUAUUUAAAUUCAUAGGGGAAAAGACUGUUUUGCCCCUCUUAAUUUAAGAGGUUUUUCUCAAAAUAAAAUUAUUUUAGGGAACCCAGAAUAGAUGAGAACUGUAUAUAUAUAUAUACUAGUCCCUAUAUAUAUAAUAGCCCCUUAGCACAUGCGUAUGUGUCAAUUGGUUUUUUUAUUAUUUAAACAAUUAAAAAGAUAAUGGGUAGUUGUGUUCCAUAAAAAUAGGAUCCAUUACCCGAUUUUGUUUUUAUUUUAAAAAGAAAUUAAUAUGAAAAAAUGUGAAUUUACCAUAUUAUCCUCAUUAAUAAUUUUAAUUCUUAAUCUUUGCAUUAACGAAGGCAUUUUAUGGUAUGAAUAUGUGAAAAUUAGAUUGUUUGGAUCAUUGAAAAAAAUAAUUUGUAGGGGAUCCUAAAAGGUGUCCCUCAAAUUUAUUUGAGGAAAUCCUUAAUAGAAGGGGACUAUAUAUAGUGUCCUUUUUCAUUACGGAGUCCACUAUGAGGAUUCAUUUCUUCUUUCUUUCACCAAGUUCAAUAUUCUCUCUCUCUCUCUCUCUCUCUCUCUCUCUCUCUCUCUCCCCCCUCUUUCUUUUUAAUUCUUUCCUCAGUUUUCUUUCCUUUCUUUCCCUCUUCUCUCUUUGUUUCCUACAUUUAUCCCUUUAUCUCUCUCUCCUGUCUUUUUUUUCCUUCUUCUUUCUCUUCACCAAUUUUCUUCUUCCUCUUUAUUCCUUGUCUCUUAUCUACUUUUCUCUUCUUCUUUUUUUAUCUUCUCUCUCUCUCUCUCUCUCUCUCUCUCUCUCUCUCUCUCAGAAUGAUUUGAAGAAAAAAUCAUUUGGGGGAAAAAUUAUCGUGGCGUCAGCUAUAAUUACUAGAAACAAUUGACUGCUCCGUGUAUUGCUCUCAUGGAUUGUUUAAACCUCUAAAAUAAUUUUUCCCCAAAAUCAUUUUCAGAGAAUGAAGAAGAAAGAAAGAGGAGAGUGAAAAGUAACAAAAUGUCUAAGAAGCAUAAUCAACCAGUCAUGGAAGAACAACAUACUCAAACAUAGUCUCAAAUUCAAAUAAGAAUCUUAUGUUAGAUAUAUGCCCUAGAGGCCAAUAUAUAAUAGAAUAUUCUAAGGAUAUAAUAUAAUCAAUAUAAUCAAAGAGGCAUGAAUGUUACUCUAAGAUACUGUUCACUCAUUUUUUAUUUAAUCCUGUGAUGGUAGGGUAAAGUUCCCAAUUGGCUUGAAAACCAUUGGUGGUCAACAAGUCAACUUUCUUUUGUGUAUGAGCGUGCCACUGCUAGCAAUAAAAACCCUAGCAGACUUCUUAAAAAUAGAUAACUUGCGCCCCAAGUUAUUGAUUUCUAAACAAGCGAUUGUGAAUUUGGGUAAGGAAAAUCUCCCAAGUAAGUUCUUUUCCUGCAUCAGGUUGGUGAGGACUUUCACAAUUUUUUACAGUACAAAACUGGUAAUUCUAGCCAAAAUAAAUGAAAAAAAAAGCAAAUUGUUUAAGCAGAAUUGCCUUUUACAGGACUCAAAAGAGAAAUGUCAGCUCCUAAAAAAGACAACAGAACGUUGGACUUCGAUUUCUGCCUGGAUAGUUGACUCUGAAUCGGGCUGGACUAGAUGCGUUUGUGCUGGAUUGGAUCAUCAACACCUUCAAUUGGUAAGUUUCAGCUAAAAAUCGAUACCAAUGUUUGAGUUUGGCAGAGCUUCAAUAUAUUUCGAGUCAUGGAAGGCUUGUUUGAAUGGGCAGAAUUGAGGACUCUUUGGUCUGAAAAGGGCAGAAGUGGCUGGAUUGAUGAUCACUAGGCUGGAGCUGUACUGUAAUACCUGUUCUGCUUGAUCAAGGCUCUCUGUAAAUUUUUUGAGGUUUUCAUAUUUGUAAAAACCCAGACUCUACUUGACUUGGCUUUGUGCUGAACCAAAUUUGUGACGUGAGAAAUCUCGCUUUGUAAAACUGUUUCUCUGAGCUGAGCUGAAAUCAGAGACUUGAAUUCCAGCUGAUUUGUUUCUUGUGGAUCAAAGAGCUUUGGUUGCUUCAGUGUCUGAAGGCUUUUGAGAUCAGUUGAUCUUUUUGGGUUUGUCAGUUGUGACUUUGAGAGUUUUAGUCUUGAUUAUUUUUUGGUUGUCCUUUGAUCUGUUCACCUCCUAUCAUAUUUAUAGGAAAUGCUGGAGUGGGGUUUUUAAUCUUUAAUAAUGGGCGGCAGAUCUUUGAAAAUAUCUUCUUUUCUCAAUGCCAUAAAAGAGGGAAGUUUAUUCAUUUUGGCAGAGAAGAACUAUCAACAAUCAGCUUUCAUGUAGGUCUUUUCCUUGCUUUUCUGAAAGAAAAACCAACUCUCUUUUGUUCCAUGUUCGUUCUUUGUAAAAAGAACAUAGUCUAUGAUGAUAGUCAAUUUGCUUUUUCUAGUGAGCAACCUCCUUGCUCCCUCCUUAUCUCUUGAAAAACAUAGUCUGCUUAUCUCUUGGAGAUGCCACAUACUUUGGUGCAGAGCUUCUCUGCAUAUUAAAAGGGGAUUUGAUAUUCUCUCCUUGGUUGCAGAAAAUGGAGAGUCCUCCUGUAAGACCUGCCUUCAUUAACUCCCUAUCACCUCCUCUGUGAUAGUUGAAAAUUUUGACUUUUUCCAAGGUCAGAAAGUCACAUGGGAUUUCUUGAGAAAAACCUACUUAUAGAAAGAUCUGCUGACUUGCCUUUUCCUUGGGUAGAGUGAGAUUUUUCUUAAAAUGGCCAAUAAUAGUUCUUUUAUAUAUAUAUAUAUAUAUUUAGACUAGGGUUAUAUUCACAAUCUGCUAAAAAGGCCUGAGCUUAAUUUAGCUUCUUGGUUUGAUUUCUACUUCCCAUAGAUAAAAAGCCCAAAACGUUUUGUUCAUGGGCCUUUUGACAAAAAAUGGGCUGGCAUGCAAUAUUUUGGCCCAAACAGAUACAUAAUCUACAUAAAGUAACAAGUCCAUGGAUAAAGAUAUGAAUGGAAAACAGUCUAAAGAAGUUAAAUUCAUGAGACCUCUCCAUCAUAUAAGUAUCGUAUCCUAAAAGGUUCCCAGUCAUAGGAUCACCAAUUGGACAAUGGUGAGCUGUGAAGACUGGUACAUGUUAUGUCUGCUCAGUCAUAUGGAUGACUAGUUUUAAGUCAUUCGUGUAGCGACACUGAGACAAAUGUGUAAGUGCUCUAUGGAGAUGAAGUUCACUAAAUGUGAUCAACUCAAGAAUUCUUGUAUGGAGGUCUUACUCACAACAAGGAAUCUCUACUCUAAUUAAGAAGAGAGAAUACUCUAAAGAUAUGAUUCAUUGAAUCUUUGGCUUGCAAUUACAUCCAAGUGAAUCAUAUAACCUAAAGAUGUCAUGUUAGGGAAUUGACAAAAGUUAACAAUAUCCCAAGAUACACAACAUAGAGUAUUGUAAUAGAGAAUGAUCAAAUUACAUUGUAAUCACAAACUAACUAGGAUCUCAAAAUGAAUUCUAUUUAGCUUGGGUGACCACGACAUACUGCUAAGUGUCACUCAUGGUUUAUGGAAGUCUUGUGAGGACUAAUAACAAUUAGCCUUUGCCAAUAGGGAGAAUUGUACAAAAAUAUACAAUUCAUAUUCACUUUAGAAGUAACUAUUCUUACGAACAACCUCGGUAAUUAAAACCUACAAGAUCGCACUCGGAAAAGGUAUGGAUCGAGAAUUGAAAAGAGAAUAAAUGAUUUUGCCGCUGGAUCAAAGUCAAAGGUCAAACAAUUGACCCAAGACUUGACACGGUCAACAUAAGGUUGACUAAGACCAACACUUGUUAGACAAGAUAGUGAUUUAUUUAUUAGGUCAUUAAAUCAAUUAAACUAAUUAGCUAAGUUUAAUUGAUUAAUUAAAGUUAUAGAACUUUAAUUUUGGUCAUAUAUGACUUAAAUAUUUAUAGAAAUGGACCUCAUGGACUUGCAUCAUAUUAAAAGAUUAACGUGUUAGACCAAUGUAGCCCAAAAAGACGAAGGAUAGGGAGGGUGCGGCACAAAGGGGGCUUUUGGGAACACAUGUGUGACAAAAUGUCUCUAUAUAUUCAUAGCCAUAUCACCAUACUUCUUUAGGGUUUCAAGUUGGAUAUUUUGGAAGAAAGGAAAAACCAAAACCUCUCUUUCCCAAACCCUCUUGGUCAGCCACCAUGGAGAAGAAAGGCUAUCACCUCUUCUUAUUCUCUAGGUUCCUUAUUCUCUCAUUCUCAUUCUACCUUGAUGAAAAUUGUAGUAAUUACGGUUGUUGUCAUUAACUUUGGCCACAAUAAAGAGUGUUCGUGACCUAUAAAUGGUGAAUUCCACCAUGCAUUCUCACCUUUGCAAAAGUCUGCAUCCAUUAAUUAAAAUAUUAAUAUUGUUUGAGAGCCACUAUUUUAAAACAUUGGCCAACUAAUACCUUUAAAAAAAAUGAAAAUAUAAUGUAUAAUUCGAUGCAUAAAAUAAAAUUCACAUUUGAAUUUCCACUACAGUACAAUUCGCAUUAUUAUUCUCAUUUAAUAUCUAUAUAAUUACAUUAAGAAUAAAUAAUGAGAUUACAAGCCACUGAUGCGUAGUAACCGCAGCCAUUUGCUAUGGCCUUAAGUACCUUUUUCUAGUAGUGGUUUGCCAUGUUUUUUAUUCACACUCUUAACCGCCUCUCAUAACUAUGUUUUCAACCUUUGUUUUUAGAGCAUCUCCAACCGAUGUGUCAAAAGUGCCAAAUAAACAUUUAACAGCUAGAAAUAACAUCUCACAACUGAUGUGUCAAAGCUGAUGUGGAAUGAAGGCUGGGGAUUGAGAUGUUAUUUUUGACAUCCCAAAAGCAAGAUGUCAAAUAAAUAUUUUAUUAUUUUUUAAAGACGGAUGGCUGUUAUUUUCAUUUAUUUUUUUUUAUUUUUUUCUUCUUUAUCUUAAAUGAUUUGACUAUUACAAUAAUUAUUUAUUUUACAUAUCGAGUGGAGUGUAAAACUGUGUAAAUGUGAAAUUGCCACAUCAUCCAUCAAUUUUAAAUUUGAUGUUUGAUAUUUGACAUCUCCCUUGGAGAUGCUCUUAUAAGCUUAAUUUAUUCCCGACCAAGUUCUCCAGAAAAUAAAAAUAUACACAAGUUUUUUUCCACGACAUCAUGAUGUCGCCGCCGCCAUUGUCUCCUCUCAGCUCAAAUGGCUCCGAAUGGGCUUUCAAACCCGACCUCAUCCUUAAAAUUAAAUUUCCUUCAAUUUAUUUAUAUUUAGAUAUUUACUUAACAUAUCAUUUUUCUUGCCAAAUUAUAAAGAAAUUGUUAGUAGUUUAUAUUUGUGUAUGUUCGUGUAGGUGCAUAUAGAUCCCAAGCCUCCACAUUUACACACAAUUCAUUUACUGAUAUUUCACAACAUCUAGGCUAUUCUUAUAAUCUAACAACUUAAGAUCUGACACAUCAUUUUUAAACUUUUGAUACCUAUCCAUUUAAUUAACUCUAUUAAGUUUUAAUAAAAAUAUAAAAAUAUAAACCUAGUAGCCAUCCAAAAAAUUUACAAAAUACAUAAAAAAAUUCACAUAUUAUACACGUAUUUUUCAUAUAUUAUUGAAUAAAAAUAAUAUAUAUUAUAAAUUUUAAAUAAAUUAAAUUAAUUAUAUAGUGGUCGAACUUUUCAUUUGUAUUUUUCAAAUAAUAUACGUACAUUUUUUUUUUGUACUUUUUCUGUUCCGUAUUUUACUAAUUAUGAGUUGCAGUUUUGUGAGAUUAAUUGCUCAAAUAUGAGCCAUGAUGCCUGGUCUCAUGAGACCGAGGAGAAACUUGGGAUGAUCGAUAAGAAUCUCUCGAACAAGAGAAGAGAAGAUUUUUUUUAUUUGUCAUUCAGAUAUAGCACGUUGCAACUAAAAUAGUCUAGAAAAAAAUAAGCACGUACUUUUUUUUCUUUUUUCUAACUAAAACCCAAAAUUUGAGUUGAACACCAAAUUGUCCAUAAAUAUUGAAUUACUUAUUUCAAUAUGAUGUUAAGGUAAAUACAACCGUACAUGACAAUAUUUUUAAAUUUAGGUUUUUCUUGGAAGUUGAAAUCCUCAAUCUUCUUUAACCCUAACCUUCUUAACUCUCCUUCUGUCUCUGCAAACCAUGAGUUCCAGAACCACUUAUGCACAUUGGAUUGAAAGCUAUGAGAGUUCUAAUGAGGUUAGUAAGGGUAGUUCAAGACUGGUCUUGAGAUUUUGAAGGCUCUGUGUGAAAUUUAAAUUGGAGCCUUCACACAAUCUAAUAUGAAAAUACUUAUAUAUAAAAAAUUUGCCAUGAUUUAAUGUCAUAAUUUUUUUUUAUAACUAAAAUUCAUCAUCAAUUAGCAUGUAAUAACAAUCACAAAUCAAAUUCACACAAUUUUUAAUGUUUUCAUUUGAUAAAGUUAAAUAUUAGUAUGUUCGGUUAAAAAAAAAUAAGAGUUCAAGAGAAAGAAGGAUUUGACCAAAAAGACAAGAGAAAGAAGAAAGCAUGAAAUCUUUCUCCUUUUCAUGUGCUUUUGUUUUUUUUUUUUUUUUAAAAACUAUUUAAAAUUUUGUUGUUAGAAUGACAUUGAGAUUUGAACUUGGGUAUUGUACCAAGGGCUGCGUUAGAAACAAGCUCCAUCAAAUACAUUUUUAUGUCAAUGUGCUGUACCUUGGAAUAUAUAUACAGUUUUUAUAAUAUUAAUAUAUAUAUAUAUAUAUAUAAUAUAAAGGAAAAAAAAAAUUUCGAAGGCCCUCAAAAAUCGGAGGCUCUGUGUAGCGGCGCCACUUGCAUCAUGCCAGGGUCACCCCUAGGUUUAUGUUUAGAAUGGAGAAGAAUGAGACUCGAAUUACUACUUCUGCUCUCUAUAGACAAUAGAAAUUUAAGAUACAUUUUCAAAACAGUUCACAUGUGCUCGGGGAAAAAUAUGUAGACAUUGAGAAUUUUAUGAUUUUUUUUUUUUAAAAUUUUAAAAUUAGCGAUAGAUACAUUGCAUUGAGAAGGAGGGCACUUAUCCUAGGAUUCGAACAGGUAACCAAGGGGGGAGGGACCUCACCACUGGGAUUAGCGGUAGAAUUUUAUGAUAUUUGAAUGCUUGUUUUAGCCAAAUCAUAUUGUGUCUCAUUUGUCACAAUCAUUUCUCUAACAAACCCAAAAUACCAAUUACAAAAAGAUUAAUUCAAGCUUCAACCUUUUAGCUCAUUAUUUUUAAGCACUCACACACAUGGAAACCAACAAUCAAAACAUCACCUCAUAUAUAUAUAUAUAUAUAUAUAUAUAUAACCUGAAAAGAAGAAAAAAUAAUUUAAUGUCAUUGAAGUUUUUAUUUUUUAUUUUAUAACAUUAGUUAUUCACGUGUUUUUUUUUUUUUAUAACAAUAGUUAUUCAUGUGUUUUUUUAUUUAUAACAUGCUUCGACACGAAACUCCAUGCAUGUCACAAAAUCUUCGUCUGAUUCAUAAUGUAGACAAUUUUUAAUAACCUCAGGGAUACAUUUGAUAUAUGCAAGGCACUUUUUAUAGAAAUAACGAUAUAUGAAGUUAUAACGUGUAUCCAUCGACGAGAGUGACAAUAAAAAUAUUCUGAAAAAAUUGUCGUCUACUAAUCUUUCACUCCCCAAACUUCAAAAAAUGAUUUAGCCUUUCAUGAAUUAGAGAGCAAUUAGUUAAUUAAAAUAUUAAACCUCAAUCUUUGGUCACUAAUGGAUAGGCACCGCAGACUUGAUAUUCUAAGAAUUAGCCAACAUUUAUAAUUAAGUAAACGUAAAACUAGUUCGAAACGAAACUAGAAAUGUAAUUCUUCAAUUAUGCCAAAGAUCCAGAUCUAUUGAGAAGUGAAUUUUUGUUGUAAAUUUAUUUACAAACGAUGUGAUUUUUUUAAAUUAUAAAACGAUAUUAUAAAUUACUCUAAUAUACGAAGAGGUGGAUCAAACUCGGGUGCAAGGGGGCAAAUUGCGUUGCCAAAAUGAUAUUACAAAGCUAUUUGUAUAGUGGGACAAUUCAUCUAUAACAAUACGCUGCCACAAUUGAGUAGCCACUAUUAGGUAUCAGACUCAUUACAAAUAUGUAUUAUCCUUGGGUAGUCGAACACAACAAACAAUUAGCAGCAAACCCUCUAACCCACAUCACAGAGCUUGAUCUAAGAACACCACCAGCAGCAACGUACUUUUUGAUAAAUGGGUACAGCUGCAAUAGCCAAUAUCAUACCAAACAGUGCAUAUUGGGGCUUACUUGGGGAGGAAGCCCGAUCAAAAGCAAGUGACAAAAUCUCUAGGCAGAGGCAAGUGAGUAAGAACGCUACCCAAGUAGCCUACAAAAGAAACUAGUAUUACGUCAUAAAAGUUCAUAGAUAUCUUGUAAUAAAUAAACGUUGGUUAACUAUGGUUACGAAGGAAUUAAUUCAGUUAAAGUCAACAAUCUUGUACAACAGCUUUGAUGCAGGACGCAUAGGACUUAAAGUUAUUAGCUUCCUAAUAUAUUUGUUAAAUUCUUAGAUUCUUUAGUUUUCCAAAUUCUAGUAGAAUUUCUACUUUUCCGGAUUUCCAGAUUUCUAGUUUUAAGUUUCCUAUUUUAUUUGGGUUAAGAUUUUUGUUUAAACAAGGGAUUUUUAUCCUAUUAUGCCUAGAUUUUAGUCUGUUAUAAAUAAACCCAUAUAGUUCUUUAAAAUUUAGAUUUGAAUGUUGAUUUAACCUCUUUUUCGAACUCUCUGAUUUCAUCCCUUCAUUCUAUAUUUUCUUUUCCUCGACCUCCGAUAUUCCUUUUUAUUCUACUAUUUCUGUCCUUUAUCUCGUCUUUUCGGGACUCAAGUGGACGAAAUAUCAUCUAUAGAAAAUUUAAAGAGCCCACGAUGCCCUAACUUGGGUGACCCUCCCAUUUUAAGGAUCAAAUAGGACAGAGACAGCCAAUAAUCUCUAUCAAUGGCCACCCACCACCAACACGACGAAACCCUCUUGUUUUAAAGUCAUUAUUUUUGACAUUUUUGUCAUGCGAAAGUUCCUAGAAAUUUUGUCCAUUACCAUUAUUGGAAGAUAAAGUCAGAAAGGUCUUUUUAUUAUGAGUGCUGCUAUUUUCACCCCAUGUCUUAUUUCCCCAUCUACCUUAUCACCCUUUAUAAACAACCUUAUGUGGCACGCCAACUCAUCUAAUAAAGCUAAGUCUUUUUUAUUUUUUUUAUUAUUAUAUCCUAAUUAAAGCAAUAAUUACCAAAAAGUCCUUCCAUCUCCCUGUUUCUUCUUCCUCCUCCCCCACACACUUUCCACAAAAUUUCCAUUAUCGCCAGAGUUCUCACCAGCGCCGCUAAACCCAUCUCGCUCACUCAUUCUCCCAUGACGGUUCCUUCUCUUCACCAUGGCAGUUGUAUCGGAUUUCUCACUGCCGCUGCAUCAUGAUUCAUGCCUCUCUCGUCUUCUAUAUUUUCUAGAUCUAUAUACGAAGAUAAUUGGUUUGACGCUUCUAUAAACAGCGGCAAAACCUCUAUAAACGGCGGCCUGUUCAUAUUUUUUUAAUGAAAUGAAAACAAAACCGUAAAAACUGCACAAGCUGAGAGAGAGAGACCUGGAUUUAACACCGCUUCUUGUCGGCCUCGGACCCCUUAUCGAGAUUGGCGACGAAGCGGAACCUCCUGCAAGGGUUCUUGAGCACAACUGCAACAAGCAUGCUAACUGAUCCAAGUAAAAUGCAGAGUAACCAUAGUUGCCAGCUUAGUGGAACAGUGCUAGCAAAAGCUCCCAAGAACUCUACAAUGAUAACUUGGAAGGCCACUGUGCAAACCACGACGCCUAGGAAUACCCGGCUGUCAAACAUGCCCACGAAUAUGUUUUUCUUCUCUAUGUCACGGCUGUUUAUCUCAUUAAACACCUGAUAAAAACAAAAGCAAACAAACAUCAUAUGUAUGCCGGAUUCGUGUACUUACGCUGGUGUGUUAAGAUUUCAGAGAGACGGACGGACACAUGCAUAGCCCAGAAGAAGUUAUAGGCUGUAUUAAAGUUAAACGUGUUGAUGAUGCAAGAGAAAACCAGUGUUGCUUUUAACCAGUAAAAUGUACCUGGCAAAACACAAAUGCGUUGAAUAUCACAGUGUCUAGAACUUCAGUUGCAUCUGAACCAGAAAGUCCAAGUAGCUGUUUCCCAUAGAAAUUGAGAACUCCAAGGACAAUCAGUUGAUAGAUACUCUGGCCAAUGAUAUUCCUCCACAUGGCCUUGGUUAUGAAGCUUGAAUCCCUCCCAACAGGGGGCCUUUUCAUAAGUCCAUCAUUUGGAGGCUCUGUUGCCAGUGCCAAUGCCCCAAGAGGGUCCAUAAUCAUGUUGACCCAAAGCAAUUGCACAGCCGUAAGGGGAGCAGAUCCUGAAAGAGAUGUGAAAUUUAUCGUUAUUUAUUUGUGUCUUUCUAAACAAAUAUAAUGGUGUAGCAUGCGAGAAAAAUCUGCCAGACCAACAUACCCGAGACACAUGCAGAAACAAAAUUGAUUAUUAGAGCAACAACGUUAACUGUCAACUGGAACUGCACAAACUUUUGAAUGUUUACGUACACUGAACGUCCCCAUCUGGCCACAUUUACUAUAGUCUUAAAAUUGUCAUCCAAUAUGAUAACAUCAGCACUUUCCUUGGCAACCUGUAUAUACCAUCCAUGAAUUGGCUAUUUAGAACUAGGAACAACAUCCAAUUAUCAAGCAGCCAAGAGGAGAAAACAAAUCCUAAAUGACACAAAAUGGUAAGUUAACCUUAUGCGCAUUCAGAUUGCAGGGGAAAAAAAAAAAAAAAAAGGCACCGUCGAUAAUUAGCUAAAUAUAAUUGAGUAGUUAAUUUAAGCAGAGGGACUUGUGAAUUCCAGAAAUCAGCAACUGAAAUUUAUUGGAAGGAUACCAUUCCAAGUAUACUACUUGGACAAAGUAAUGGUUCAAAAAUGAUUUAGAAAAGUCAUAGAGCAGCUCGUUGAGGUACAUGUUGUAGUUUGGAGUUGCCUUUUCCUUUAGCAAGCAGUAUAUGCUAUGAGUAGCAAGAGGAGCAGAGGAAAAUCACAGUAAAUAUCUCAAGUUGGCCUAUUCCCCAAGUCAAGGGGUGUUAGAAAGCAACAUAAAUUGACAAAAAGAACAAGACACCAAUUUCUUUUUCUAGUAAAUGUUAUACAAGUUACAACAAUCAAGUUGCAUUCACCAGCUUCUUGGUAGGAGCGUACUGAAGAGGGCAGUUCUUAUCACAUCUAAGGCUUUUUCAGGUUUUCUUAGGAAGCAGUUCUAUUUUGGUGGUUAUUUCUGUCCAAGGGUAAAUACGGGCAUGAGGCACCAAAAUAGUAAUAUUAGUAACAAAAAUAAUAAAACAAACAACAAUAAUUCGAAACUACAGCCUUAAUUGUUUUUUCUUCUGGCUAUGCACCAAGAAUAUAUCUUUAACAUAAUUGUUUUACUCAGUAACAUGACGCGCCAUGUGUCCUACCAUCAAAGAUAAUGUGUCUUGUCAACGCAUGCUACAUGCGACAUACAUGAAAUGAGUUUGAGUAUGUGACAAAUCAUGUCAGUAGCCAUGUCAUGGAGUAAAUCAAUUUUGAUGGAUGAAGGUAACCUCUGUUCCUGCUAUGCCCAUAGCAAGUCCAAUGUCUGCCUCAUGCAAAGCAGGAGCGUCGUUGGUCCCAUCGCCAGUCACUGCAACUACCUCACCAAAUUCAUCUCUCAGAGUUUUUACCAAGGUGUGCUUAUCCAAUGGUAAAGACUGGGCCAUCACCUGUAUCCACAUGAACAUUUAAAUUUUUUGUGAUCCUUAAAUAGUUAUGGUUUAGGGUGAAAAUUUUCCAAUGAAAUUAUUUAGUAACCUGAAUUCUCGGUAUAACAGCUUUCUUCUGCUCAGGAGACAUGUUAUGAAACUCCUGUCCUUCUAUGGCUAAACCAUCUUCUGUGAGUAUGCCGCAUUCUUUAGCUAUGGCUUUAGCCGUAUUUAAAUUGUCACCAGUGACCAUUCGUACAGUUAUUCCAGCAGCUAAACAAGUUUGAACUGCAUCCUUGACCCCAGGGCGCACAGGAUCCUUGAUACCGACAACUGCUAUCAAUGUAUAGCCAUCAUCUGGGAUUUCAUUUUCGAUGGAAGAGUCAUCUAUAUUUUUGAAAGCCAAGCAGAGCGUUCUCAAGGCUUCAGAAGCAAAAGAAUUAAUGACAUCCGUGAUAUUCUUUACCUGUUCUAGGGAGAGAAUAACAGAUUCUCCAUUAAAGUCAAUAAAUUUGUUACACAUUCUCAGUACUAUUUCUGAUGCACCUUUGCAAAAGGCUCGUUUCCCACCAUGAGGAUGAUCUACAAGCACAGACAUUUUCUUCCUCACAAAAUUGAAAGGUUCAACCUUAUGAAUAUUAACCUCUCUGCGCACGGCAUCAAAAUCGCCACCCAAAAGUAAACCAAAUUCUAAUAAUGCUAACUCUGUUGGUGUCCCCAAAAUGGAGGUCUUUCCAUCUUCCAUAACAACCUCAGAGCUUGUAUUUUGGAAUAUAACCUGUAAAAGGAUGCUUGAUGCUCCAGAUAUUUCUGAACUCAAUAUUUCUUUACUCUCAUUACCUUUUACAUCUAAAGGUUUUCCACAUAUCCAUAUCUUGUUAACUACCAUGUGGUUUGUGGUUAAUGUCCCUGUUUUAUCUGUGCAAAUGCAACUAGCAGAACCCAUUGUCUCACAUGCUGAGAGAUGCCUUACGAGUGCCCUAUCAUUCAUUAAUUUUUUCAUAGCAAAAGCAAGGCUCAGCGUCGCUGCCAAUAGUAAUCCUUCGGGAACUGCAACAACAAUUAUAGUUACCGCAAUAGCAAAGUAGUUCAAUAGGAUUACCGCAUCGGUUGAAGACCAAUCAGUGAUCUCGUUGUUAAGUAUUUUUUCCACCAAAAAUCUUACUGCCAAUACCGAAAAUGUCAACACAGCAAAAGUCAGACCAAUUUUACCAAUAAUUAUAGCAACACCAUUCAGCUUUACCUGCAGUGGGGUCUCAUCUUCUUCUUCUUCACUCAGAGCUGUCAUCAACUUUCCCCAUUUAGUUCUCAUACCAACUGUUGUCACCAGCAUUAUACCUGACCCAUCCUGCACUUUAGUUCCUGAAAGAAGAAAAGGCUUCUCUUCAUAUACAUUCACUGGCUCACUCUCACCUGACAAGCUUGACUCAUCAAUCAGCAAAGAGUAUCCUGAUAUGAAAAAUCCAUCUGCUGGAACUUGGUCCCCAAUUGACAAAUGGACAAUAUCUCCAACAACCAAGUCAUAAAUGGAAACUUUUUGUCUUUUUUUAUCCCUAGUGACCUGAACGAAAAUCUUUUUCUUCUCCCUGUCCAAAUCCUUGAAUUGCAAUGCUUGUCUGUAGUCACUAAUGGCAGUAACCACAACGACUAAGACUAUACUAAUUAAAAUUCCCACACCAUCGUCCAUGCCUUUUGGCCACCCCUCAGUGGCAAUUCCAACUCCUAUUGAAACCACAGCACAUACCAUAAGGAUAAUUAAUGUUAAGUCUUGUAGGGCUUCCCAUACAAACAUAAAAAAUGUUCCAGGAGGUUUCUCCGUAUAGCGGUUUAAGCCAUAAACAUUUUGCCUGAUUGGUAUGUUACUAUCCUUGACACCUUCAUCUAGCGAGACAGAGACUUUCCUUAAAAUCCCAUGAAUUCCACCAUGCAUUUUCAAGGCCUGAAUAUCAUGGCCACACGUGAUAGAUGCAAGUUCAUCUGGGUAAAUGCUGAAACCUGCAAUUCUGGCAUCUUCAGACAGCUUGUAUUCAUCCUGUCCUGGCUUUUCAUUGGAUCGAUCACCAGCACCAUGCAUUUUCAAGUCCUUAAGAUCAUGGCCACACGUGAUAGAUGCAGGUUCAUCAGGGAGAAUGCUGAAACCUGCAGUUCUGGCAUCUUCAGACAGCUUGUAUUCAUCCUGUCCUG
rnacentral:lncRNA from 1 species